AUUAAUUGGAAAAUGAAGUCGUAUUUUUAGUCUUGUUCACAGAGAAAGAAUAAAAUUUGGGCUCAAAAAAUCCAUUUUUAAACCUAAUUUUCAGACUUAGCCCAUAAUUCCCAAGCCCAUAAUUCCUAGGCCCAUACCCCCUAACCUAAGUAUAACCCUAAACCUAUAGAAAAAAAAGGAGCUAACACUAAAGAUCGUGGAGAUAGAGAUGGGGGUGAAACGGAAAAAAUAGAGAGGAGAAAGUCUGGGGAUGGGACGGAACAGAUCUGAAAAUAGGGCUGGCAUGCUCUUCUUUAUUCAACAGAGGCGUCCUUCUACUACCCAAAACAGCUGCUAAUUGCAGGGGAAAAUGCCAUCCAAACUCCAUUUUCUUCACCUUAGAUAGUUUGUUUUAGCCAUAGAAACCAGUACCUUCAAACCUCCAUAAACACAACUGAAAAGCUUCACUCAAAUCACUCCAAAACACUCAAAAACUUCACGAGAAUCAGCGAAAAACUGAUGCCAAACAGCCUUGAAACCAACCUUUAAACACCCAUUCACUCUGGCGAAGAUCAGCCGAGUAAUCGAACUCCCUCAAAAGAUCCAAGGAGUUGAACAGUGAGAUUUACCGUCCGAAUGCUGUCAAGAGCGAGGUCGUUCAAAUUCCGUCCAUUAGCUUCACAUGUAUUUCUCUGUUUCUGCAUUGACUUUUGAGAUUUACAACUGUACCGGUUGGUUUAUUUAGGAUUUCUUCCCAAUACAUCGGAAAAUUUUCAUUGCUCAAGGUCCUGUUCUUUCUUUCGUCUACUACUCUAUUUCAUUUCUUUAUGAUCCAUAUAUUUUAGAUCCUUGUUGCUUAUGCUACACUUCUUCACUUCUCAUGAAUGUUUGGUUCUUGAUUCUUAAUAUCAUGAGUGUCAAUGGAUUUUAUGAGAUAUUGGUACUAAUAUUUUUUAAUAGCAGAAAGUGUAAAGGUUUUCAAAGGAAUUUUAGGAGUAGACCGAAUUUUUCUAGCCGAUGAACAAUGAAAUCUGUUAGAUUUGAGUUUAUUUUGUCAUCUUCGCUUUAUUGUGAGUUUAUGGGAAGUUGCCCUAUUUUGUUUGAUUUAUUUUUCUUAAAAUAUUUUGGAUAGAGAUUUGUUAAUCCUUUUAGUUAAGUUACGUGUUAGAUACCAUUGUUAGGUUAGCGUAUUAUUUCAUUUUAUUUAUAUUGAUUGAGUUUUUUUUAAUUCAAAUGAAUUUUGAUUUUGAGAAUGAAUGAAAAUUAAUCAUGCAAGGUAGUAACUGGGGAAAGAAUUUCGGAUUUAAAAUAGUGUUCGAUGUAGCUUGCUUUAAGUGCGAUUAAUACUAAAUCAUCACGAAUACGGGUACGGUUCCCGUGACGUAGUUGUAAUACCUAAUUUCAAAUUAGUUUUAAAUAUGAAUAUCCGUAGUUCACUUAGAUGAAUGCCUUCUCCUUUAAUAAAAUUGAGGUGUGACAAACAUUCAUCUAGUCUAUGGCCCUCAUAUUGAUAUUUUAAUUAGUGUAGAAAAUGCCUCUCGUAGUUUGCUUUAGGCGUGUUAAUUAAAUAAAUUGUCAUAGCUACGGGUACGGUUCCCGUGACGUAGUUGUGACGCUUAAUUUCUAAAAUCUGGGAGUAUAUUUAUAUGACACGGCCACAAUUUAAUUUUGUUAAUAAAAUAAACAUGUUGUAGAUCGUGGGUACGAUUCUCGUGACAUGAUCCGCAAUGUGUAAUCAAAUAAUUAGUUGUAUGGCAAUCGUGGAUUAUUAAAAGAGGUUUAAAAGGAAUAAAAAUGCACAUAGGUUUCAAAGAUGUUUUAAAUCAAAUAAAUAGGCCAAUAUUAACAGUUGAGCGACCGUGCUAAAACCACGGAACCCGGGAAUGCCUAACACUUUCUCUCGGAUUAACAGAAUUCCUUACCCGGAUUUCUGUGUUCGCGAACUGUAAAACAGAGUCAAUCUUUCCUUGAUUUGGGAUUUAAACCGGUGACUUAGAAUACCAUAAUUUAUCCCUAGUGGCGACUUUGAAUUUAAUAUAAAUAAUCUGUUUCGGUCAUUGUCACUUUAAUUAGAAAAACUCUAUUAUACCCCUUCCUGGGGUAGGAAAAAGGAGGUGUGACAAGGUUUAUAUUGUACAGUGUCAUGACCCAAUUUCAUUAUAGGUCGUGAUGGCGCCCAACACCAUUGUCAGGCAAUCCAACACGGAAAUUUUAAUAAGUUCUCAUUUUACUUUACCAAAACAAGUAUAGAAAUUUCUUAAUUUGAAGUUAAAACAAGUGAUAAUUAGUAAUAUACCAAAAACAAUUAUACAAUUCCCAAAAGAAUAGUCUACUAUUGUGUGUGUCAAGACCUGGUGUCACAAGUAUGUGAGAAUCUAGUAGAAUACACAAAAGAAUAAAUCUAUCCUAUUGUCUGAAAUAGAGUAGACAGCCAAAAGUAAAGAGAGACUCAAUCAAGCAGCUGAACAGCAUAGGAAGGGAGCAGCUCACCAUGGAAGUCUCGGACUAUGAUCAAGAGCGCGCACCAGACUGAUAGCCAGUUGUACCUACCUCAGAUCUUGUACAAUUAAGUACAGAAGCGUAGUAUGAGUACAUAAAUAAUAUGUACCCAAUAAGUAUCCCGUCUAAUCUCGAAGAAGCAGAGACGAGAGGUUGACUUGAUACUUACUAGGGUCAAAUAAUAUAAUAAAAUUUUAUGCUAAGCAUGAAUGUCACAGAUAAUAUCAGUUUAUAGCAAGAAGUGAUAAGUCAUGCCUAGAUAGUAUCACAGUUAGCCAUUUACAUUUCAGAGCAUUUAAUAAAGUAAGUCAUGAAUAAGAUUUCACAUAAAUAUCAUGUGCACGUUAUGCCGAGGUUGUACGACCCGGUCCAUAGAAAGGAAACUGUGCACUGGCAUAGGGUCAAAUGGCGCGAACCAUAGAUGCAUCUAUUUCUACCGAGGUGAUCGAAUCGAUCCACAAAUAUUGAUUAUCAUCAAGAAGGUGCAUAAAGGCGCAUUUAUAUUCAAAUAAUUCAUACAAGUGUUCAAACAAGUGCAUAUGUUCACAUAGGUUCAUUUUCAAGUCUCUACCAUAUCCUAAGUGAUCUCAUUAGCAUGAAAGGAUAUAAACAUUUACAAAUUUGGCAUGAUACGGGUCCUAAACUACCCAGACAAAUAACAUAGUAGUAGCUACAUACGGACUUUCGUCACCUAGUGCGUACAUAGUCCCCGUAUUUAGUGGAAACUUAUUAAAUUAUUACCCCUAUGGGGACAAUUCCCUCUUACAAGGUUAGAAAUGAGACUUGCCUCGCUCUGAAGCAUAGUUCCAAUACCAAGAACGUGCUUAAACCCUCAAUUUGGAGCCGAACGAUCCAAAAUUAAUUAAACGAGGUAGGAACUAGUCAAUACAAGCUCACAAUUUUGCAUUCUAACUAUUAAAGAAAUUUCCCAACCCUAAACACAAGUUUCCUAAAAUCCGACCCCAGGCCCACACGCCCAGAUUUCGAAAUUUUUCAAAGAAAGUUGUUCUUCAUGACCUAAGGAUCAAUAAUAUAUGAUUUCUACUUCAUUUCAUAACAAAUUUCGUGGCUAAAUCUAACAUUUAUCAAAACCCUAGGUUUUGCUCUAACCCCAUGAUUUUUCCUUAAUUUUUGUGUGUUAAUCUACCCAAGACUCAAGUAGUAAACUAGAAAUAAGUGGGAUGAACUUACCUCAAGAUGCUAGGUGGAAUAUCUCUCUUUGGAAGCUCCCAAAUCGCCCAAACAAUGGUGGAAAUGUGUCAAAAAUGACACAUUCCCGUAUUAAAUGAAAGCACUGCCUUCAACGAUUUUUGCACCUGCAGUUAGGGGACCGCAUUUGUGGUCUCGCUUCAGCGAGAAGGGGUCCGCAUCUACGGAUCUGGGCCAGGGGCCUAGGGCCGCUUCUGCGGCAUUGGAUCCGCCCUGCGAAGCCACCUCUAAGGAGAAGGAGCCGCAUCUACGGUUCCUAUGCUCCUUCCCUUGGCCGCUUCUGUAAUGUGUCGACUGCAUCUGCGGUCUCGCACCUGCGGCUGACCAACCACAGGUGCGGUUAUGACAGAUAGCUGGAGCCUCAGCUCCUUGCCAUUUUUUCCAACUUCACUCAUGCCUCGUCUGAUUGACGCUCGGGGGCCCCGGGCCCCGUCUGAGCAUACCGAUAAGUUUGAAAUCAUAAAACGGACUUGAGCGAACCCUCGAAAUUUCCAAAACAACGCUAAAUCUAAUAAUCACCCCCUAAAAUCAAUUGAAUCAAACUUAUGAACUUCAAGUUCUUAAAUUCACUUCUAACGCGCCGAAACAUACUUAAGCUACUUGGAUUGAUACCAAAUUUUGCGGGCAAGUCUUAAACAUUAUAUCGGACCUAUACCGGGCUCCAAAACCAACAUGCAAGCCCGGUACCAACUUGAUCAAGCAUUAUUCAAUUUCAUUAAAUCCUUAGCAUUUCAGUUUAAAUAUUUCUAACAUAAAUUCACUACUCGGGCUUGGGACCUCGAAAUUCGAUUCUGCGCAUACGCCCAGGUACCAUAUUUUCUUACAGAUCCUCUGGGACCGUCAAAACAAAGUCCAGGUCCGUCUACUCGUAAUGUUGACCAAAGUCAAACUUAGCCUUUUAAGAAAAUCUUAGGGAAUCAAGUGUGCUUAUUUCAACCCAAACGCAUUCAAAUCUCGUACCAACCAUCCCCGCAGGUCGUAAAUUAGUUAAAGCAAGCGCGGGAAGUCUUAUUUAGUGGAAUAGGGUCCUAAAACACAAAAUGACCAGUCGGGUCGUUACAUUCUCCACCUCUUAACAAAUGUUCUUCCUCGAACGUACAUAGAAAAGUACCUGAGCUAGGAAAAAGAUGGGGGUAUCUGCUCCGCAUUUCCUCCUCGGACUCCUAGGUCGCCUCCUAAACUGUUUAGCCCCUCCACUAGACCUUUACCGCGGAAAUCCUCUUGGAUCUCAACUGGAGAUCCUCUCUACCAAUAAUGGCAACUAGCUCCUCCUCAUAACCUAGAUUCUUAUCCAGUUGAAUAGUACUGUAACACAUGGGACAAGUCGGUGUGAUACUUCCGCAGCAUCGAUACAUGGAAAACUGGAUGAACUCCCGAUAAGCUGGGGGGUAAAGCCAGCUCAUAAGCAACCUCCCCAACUCGCCUCAACACCUCAAAUGGGCCAAUAAACCUUGGGCAGAACUUGCCCUUCUUCUCGAAUCUCAUAACACCCUUCAUUGGCGAGGCUUUCAAGAGGACCUUUUCGCCAACCAUGAAUGAUACAUCAUACGCCUUUUGAUCCACGUAACUUUUCUAUCUGGACUGAGCUGUGCGAAGCCUCUCGUAAAUCAACUUUACCUUUUCCAAGGCAUCCUGUACCAAGUCUUUACCGUACAACUUAGCCUCACCAGGCUCAAAAUACCAGAUAGGAGAAUGACACCGCCGACUAUAUAAAGCCUCAAAUGGAGCCAUCUCUAUGCUGGACUGAUAGUUGUUUUCGUAAACAAAGUCUGCCAAGGGCAUGAACUGAUCCCACUGUCCUCUAAAAUCAAUCACACAUGCUCUGAGCAUGUCCUCUAAAAUUUGAACUGUCCGUCGGUCUGAGUAUGGAAUGUUGUGCUAAGCUCCACACGGGUCCCCAACUUACUCUGAACGGCUCUCCUGAAAUGGAAAGUGAACUGAGGGCCUCUAUCUGAUAUAAUGGAAACAGGCACACCGUGCAACCAGUCUAUCUCCCGAAUGUAAAUCUGAGCCAAUCUCUCUGAAGUGUAAGUACUCACAACCGGAAUAAAGUGUGCCAACUUGGUUAGCCUAUCAACAAUGACCCACACUGCAUCAAACUUCCGCAAGGUCCGAGGCAACCCAACUACAAAGUCCAUAGUAAUGUGCUCCCACUUUCGCUCAAGUAUAGGCAUCUGCUGAAGUAGGUCACCUGGCCUCUGAUGUUCAUACUUAACCUGCUGGCAAUUCAAAAACCUAGCCACAUACUCCAUUAUGUCUUUCUUCAUCCUCCGCCACCAAUAAUGCUGCCUCAAGUCACGAUAUAUCUUUGUAGCACCCGAAUGAAGGGAAUACCACGAACUAUGCGCCUCCUCUAGAAUCCUCUCCCUCAGACCAUCAACAUUAGGAACACAUAGGCAACUCUGGAGUCAUAGAACACCAUCCUCGCCUAUAGAAACCUACUUGGCACUACCCUGUAGCACUAUCUCUCUGAGAACCGCCAAGUGCGAAUCAUCGAACUACUGAGCCUUGAUCUGCCCUAAUAAUGAAGACUGAGCAACAACACACGCAAGGACUUGGCUGGGCUCUGAAAUAGCUAACCUCACAAGUCUGUUAGCCAAGGACUGAAUGUCUAAGGCUAGUGGCUUCUCCUAUGAUGAAAUGAAUGCCAAGAUACCCAUACUCUCUGCUUUUCUGCUUAAGGCAUCUGCGACCACAUUUUGCCUUGCCCGGAUGAUAAAGAAUGGUAAUUUCAUAAUCCUUCAGUAACUCAAGCCAUCUACGCUACCUCAAAUUGAGAUCCCUCUACUUUAACAAAUGCUAUAAGUUGCGAUGAUCAAUGUAAACCUCACAUGACACCCCAUACAGAUAAUGUCUCCAUAUCUUAAGAGCAUGAACAAUCGCUGCCAACUCUAGAUCGUGCCCAAGAUAAUUCUUCUCAUGAAUCUUCAGCUGGCAUGAAGCAUAUGCAAUAACUCGCCCCUCCUGCAUCAAUACAAAACCCAAGCCAACACGUGAAGUGUCACAAUAUAUUGUAUACAUCCCUAAACCAAAAGCCAACACAAGAACUGGUGUUGUAGUCAAAGCUGUUUUGAGCUUCUGAAAGCUCGCCUAACAAUCAUCGGACCAACGGAAAGGAGCACCCUUCUAGGUCAAUCUAGUCAGAGCUGAUGCAGUAGAUGAAAAACCCUACACAAAUAGUCUGUAAUAACCUACUAACCCCAGGAAACUCCAGAUCUCGAUCACUGAAGUAGGACGUGGCCAACUCUAAACUGCCUCAAUCUUCUUGGGGUCUACCUUAAUACCCUCUCCUGAAACAAUAUGCCCCAAGAAUGCCACUAACUCUAGCCAAAACUCACACUUGGAGAACUUAGCAUACAACUUCUGCUCCUGCAGGGUCUAAAUCACUACUCUCAAAUGUUGCUCGUGCUCUCCCAGGCUACGUGAGUAUAUCAAGAUGCUAUCAAUAAAGACUGUUACACCCCCUUUUUCUCACGAAAUCGGAUUUAUGACAUUUUGUAUAGGACAACUCGUUUCUUUCAGGAACUAGGUUUUGCAUUUUUGAAGAGUUGUCACCUAAUGAUUUAAGGUGCAUUAGGAUACCAAUGGGGUUCAAUUCUAACUCAUUUGAAUAACCAAAGAUAGGGUAAGGGCUUGAAGUUAUCCCAAGGAGAAGGUGUUAGGCACCCCUCAGGAUCUACUAGUGUGGUUCCCGGUCAGACAGUUAUUGUAAAUUUAGCAAAUAUACAAGUGCGGGCUCAAAUAUUAGGGGAUUUAAACACAUAAAAAAAAGAAAUAACAAUUAAAAGCAGAGUUAAAAAAAGAUUUUGCAAAUAAAAGGAAAGGGGAUCCUAGGUUUAUAUUUAAUAUGGAUCACGCCAAUGCAAUACCCGGUAAUCACUUCUCAAAAGAGGGGUUACACGUGGCCUUAGCGCACUGGUCAUCAUAUCCAUAUCUACCAUUCCUGCCCUGUUAAGGUAUUAAAGCGUGGAUUGGUCUCGAUUACUAUUGCAUGUUAUUACUCGUCCCAUUCCUAUCAGUCCUGGAGGCACUUAGGACUAGUAGUCCUAAAGGGUGGGAUAUUAGACUGAUUGGUUUCAAAGGAUAAAAAUCUAAGGCGACAUACAAAAAACACAUAUUGCAUGUUGGGGAAGCAUAUAAACAGAUAAAGGCUCAAAUAUACCUCAUUGAACAAAAGCACAUAACUAGCAUGACUUGCACAUACUUUUUAGGUCUGAUUAAAAUACUAAAGACGAGGGGAGUUUGAUUAUUGAAGCAGAUUCGUUUAUUACAUAACUCAGAUAAGAAGUUCGAAUCAUGCCUACCUGCUGGUUAUAACAAUUAACAAAGGCGGAUUCAAUUUUAUAGUCAUUACUCUAAGGCUUGCCUAAGUAUUUAGACGGGGUCCUAUAGGCAUGAUAUCUACUUAAUUUAGAAGGUGGUGAAAUAGUGAUAACUCAAAGCGAAUUGUUUGAAAUCCUAUAGGCAUGCUUGCUAAACCUCGUUAAAAUAAGAGAAUUAGACUAUUAAAAAAAGAUUCAGAAUUGACGAAUUUUAAAUUAGACUAGUUCAGUUUCUGCAGAUGACAGUAUCCAUUAUCGCUGAUUUUUACUCCUGUGAACAUGGUAUCUAGGAUUACUGAUUUUAGACACUUGUAGACAUAAUUAAACCUUCGCGUGCAUAGUAUCUGAAUAAUGUCAAACCCCUAUAGGCAUAAGAUCUUGUAGACAAUGGAAACAGGCGGGUUUUCACUUGAAAAUUCAUAUAAGCAUGAUUUCUAUUCAUUAUGCUGAUUUUAACAAGCAACUGGGUUAUAGCCAACUGGGCCCUAAAAACACGAUAUCUAAACGGUGACAAACAUGCAGAAUUUUAGAUAUUUCCUAUAGGCAGGUUAUCUAGAUGUGAAGUUGAACAAGUAGGUCCUAUAGACAUGGUUUCUAAAUGUGAUGCGAAUAUGCAUAAUUAAAAGCAGUCCUAUAGACAUGUUUUCUAAAUGCGAAUUGAACAUGUGGAAAAAGCAGUCCUAUAGGCAUGUUUUAUACCCUUGAUCAUGCAUAAUUACCUAAUCCUUUUCACUAGCCAGCCCUAAAUGUUCAUUACAAAUUAUUACAAACCAUGAAUACUGAAUCAUAUCAGAAAGGUACAAAGAAAAAUUACAACCAGAGGAAGCCUGAUUCUUGACUUCCUCUCUAAGUUAUGGAGUAAACCACCUCAAAAUGCCAUUGAUCCAAAGCCUUUCUCGAACUUGAGUGUGUCAGAGCUCGCUAAGGGCCUCAAUAGAACCUCGGGCGGUGCUCACACCCAAGUUACAUAACCAAAAUGGAGAGAAGUGCAGUGCGGAAAUGUCAUCCCUUAUGUGUCCAAGUUAAAAGGGAGCUCAUGGGUCCCAAGGCAAGGCUUUCAUGAGGGGGCAGAACUUAAGUCUAAGAAGAGAGUGAAAGUGCAGAAACAGAGUUCUAAGAGCUGAGGUAAUAAAGGAGAGGGAAAGGGUGAUGGGAGACAUCCAUUAACAUUUCAGGGAGUCAAUAACUUCACACAAAGGGGGCAGGGUAUUGAGAAUCCAGUGCAAGGAGCUUAUACACUUAGGCAUGGGUUAACUUUUGGCAUGUACAACAAUAGAAAGUACUGACAUGCCUGUAAAUCAACCAGAACACACAACAUAUAAGAGAAACGUGGAGGUUAUGAUCCUAAGAGGAUCAAGUUUGGGUCAUGCACAACAAUUUCCAAUGAUGUCAUGCCCCAAACCAACCACAAGUAUUAAACACAUUGGGGUAGGGAUUUAGAAUUCACAGGACAUGAUACAUUAAUUCAGAAUAGGAGAAAGGAAAUUACAGCAUGCUAACAAUGGUACUAGGCUAAAUACAAACAGUAGGCAGACAAGAAUGCAAGAAACAAUAAUUAAACAUAUUGUUGUUGGUGCAAAAAACUUAAUUAGAACAUACCAGUAAGAAAUGCAAAUGCAGAAAAUAAGCAAGUUUCCCCACAGCCUAACCUUGGCUUUCAGCCGGCUAGGUAAGGCAGCAAUAUAGUAGUAACAGAGAAAAGAGAGAUUUGGUGGAGUGUGUGUUUGAACUUAAGUGUUUAUGCCUUGUGUUCGUAUUUUUUUUAAAGAAAAGAAGUACAUGAUAUUCAUAGCUUUUUGAAAACGAGUAAGAAAGGGUAAUAAGCUACAAACAUAGAGACAAUCAUGAUUCAGAAUCAAUUAUACAAGUGAUUGCCUUUAAUUAAGGGAUCACUUUGCUUAACGGGUAGUGACAAAUUCAAAAAUAAGGAAAGAAAUCAAUUUAUAAGCAGGCUGCCAGUUGCCAUAAAAGAAGUAGUAAAAUAUUAAGUAGGGCAUCGAGUCUAGGUACAGAAAUACACUAAUUUUGGAAAGAAUUCAGCAAGGCAAAAUAGGAAAAGAAAAUCAAUUAACCCUAAUAGGCGAGUGAAAUCAGAAUUUCACAAAGGAAAGGUUUGAAAUCAGUCACAAGUUGAAGGUCAAAUAAAGAAGGAAACUUAGCAUAUAAAUAGGGUGCAUAAACACUAUACAUGUGAGGCCAAGCUUGUUGGUAGAAGGAAAGAGCAUACAAUAGUAGCACAAAAUUCAGUGGAUAACAACAUUCGAAACAUGAUAGCCCAGUAGGUCAAGUAGUGAAGAAAACAUAGAAUAUUAAAGCAUGUGAAGAUCUCACAGUAGCAGGUGAAGAAAACCCCUCUUGAAAAUUAGGGUUUCGAGCAUAAUCGAUUUUUAGAGAUGAUAGAAAAACAAAUUCAGAAGAAUCACACAGGGAAAUAAGAGAUUUUGAGAUAAAGAACUUCAAAAUCGAGUUUCGCACUUAAACGAACAGCCUCAAACCCAAAACCAUAGGAUUUUCAACUAUAGAAGAGUUUUUAAAAGAGGAUAAACAAACAAAUCGGACAGAAACUCAGGCAAACAAGCAUUCGUCUAAUAAACAGUCAUAAGAAAUUAGGGCUUUUAACAUGCAAACUCAAGUAGAAUAAAGAUAUAAGGAAACACAAUAGAACAUGUCAAAAAUCAGAGAAAAGUUUUGAAAUAACCUAACAAGAUCCCUAAUCGGAAAAGAUAAGGGGUUUUGAAGGCAGAGUUUUAAAAGAAACUUCGAGAAAAAUGCUUAGUAGUUCAGAUAAAACAUAGAUCUGAAAUAGAUCUAAAAGAAAUCGAAAGAACCUUAGAGGUUAGGGUUUCAGAAGAACCCUAAGAGAUGAUAAAGGCUUUGAAAACCAUCGAUCAAAGCAGGAGAGUCAAAAGUCUGUCUUGAAUAGCCAUGGCUGAACGGAGAACAGUCAUGAAAUGAAAUCGAACAGGUUCUAUACCAAGCUCUUUCAAGAUCUAGACUUGAGACCAUAAGAAUCGAAUAGGUAGAAGCCAUGGGGGUUGAUACAGGUCUCCGACGACCUUGGAAGUCAUAGAUUUGGGAGGUAUUAGGGUUGGGUUAGGUGGCGGCGGCUAGGUUUCAUGAGGGAUUGCAGAGAGAGUUGAGAGGGAAAGGGAUUCAAGGGUGGCGUUUAGUGUGAAAUGAGGUGGGGUAAGGGGUCGUUUGAGGUUAAAAAUGGAAUGGGCCGAUAUUGGUCGUUGAUCUAAAUGAUCAACGGCCAGGAUUGAAAGGGUUAGGUAGGGGAGCCGGGUUGGGUUAUUUAGAUUGGGUCGGGGGUCGGGUUGAAAUUGAAAUUGGGUUGGGAAAGGGGGCCUGUUUUGGGUUAUAAUUAAAACUCAAUUUGGGCUAUUAUAGCAAUAGCCACUUUUCCCUUAUAAUUUUAUAAAAUAUAGUAAAUUAAUUCCUGGAAAUAAAUUGAAGGUACUAAAAUGAUUUGUAAUACAUAAUUAUCAAUUUAAAAAUACUGGACUUAAUUUUUAUAAAUAUAAACACAAUUAAAUCUAAAAGAAGCAAAUAUUGCAAUUAUAUGCAAUUUAGCUUUAAAAAUACUAAAUAAAUUUUUAAAAAUACGAAAAAAUUAUCUUGACUAUAUUUUAGUAUAAAUAUGAGCAUCAAAUAAAAUAAUCACCCAGAUUGAUAACAUUGGGAAUUAUUAUUGGGUUUUUAUGAAUAAAACAGAGGAAUGAAUUAGUUAACAAAUCUUUAAAAUUAAGAAAAUUAAGAAAAUUAAUAAAAAAUUUGGGCAUAAUUAUAUAUGCAUAUAUAUUCUAUUUUGAAAGUAUUUUGCAUAGAAAAAAUAUACAGGAAAAAAUUGGAUAUCAACAGUUGUCCCUCUUUACCCGGGAAGGAUGAAAGAGUUGUCGGGUAAAGAUAUGAUGGCCAAUUUUGACCAAGCGAAAUGGUUUGAGAAAUUAGGCCGCACCCUAGCUUCUCAGUUUCCUACAUAUCUCUGGUCUUAUAGUAAUCAGGACAUAUGUAGUUCGGGAUUCGUUGGCGGGGUAUGCCGAUGGAGACUUUCGAGAACAGACGCAAUAUUCAGGACGUAGGAAUAGUUAAGAUUGGACAUGGAUGCGGGAACUGGAGCGGGAUCGCUCCUGCCGAGAUGGCCGUUGCUUGCCGGUUUACAUGCAAAUAAGCAAUACAAGCAUAUAUUGUGCAUAAAUUUCAACAUGAUGCAAUCUCUCGUCGGACCAUGAGGAUUGUCUUCGGGCGGUUAGAAUGACGUCCUUAGACCAUGAUGUCCUGGGCCAUGAAGCGUAUAAUAAAGGAUUCCUAGGCCAUGAAAUGAUGCUCUCAGGCUAUGAGGAUAAUGCCUCCGAACCAUGACGUCUUUGAAUAAUGAUAUACAAAAGAUUAAAAGGGGUCCUCAGGCUAUGACAUGGCAUUCUCAGGCUAUGAAAAUGGUGCCUCCGAACAAUGAUGCCUUCAGAUGAUUUAGCGAUCUUUUAGCCCAUGGGAUUCAGUAUUUGGCGAUCUUUAAGCCACGCAAAUGUGGAUAAUAUGGCGAUCUUUCAGCCAUGCAAAUAUAGAUAAGAUGGUGAUCUUUCAACCAUGCAAAUAUAGAUAAGGCGGCGAUAUUUCAGCCAUGCAAAUGUAGAUAAGACAACGAUAUUUCAGCCAUGCAAAUGUAGAUAAGGUGUCGAUCUUUCAGCUAUGCAAAUGUAGAUAAGGUGGCAAUAUUUCAGUCAUGCAAAUGUAGAUGAGGUGGCGAUAUUUCAGCCAUGCAAAUAGAGAUAAGGUGGCGAUAUUUCAGCCAUACAAAUGUAGAUGGAGGUUGUGUUUAACCUCGGAAGGCAGAAUGGUAGCCUUAUGCAAUGCAAAAUGCAAAUGGAGAUAGCGUUUAGUCUUGAAAGGCAGAAUAGUAGCCUUAUGCAAUACAGAAAUGCAGAUGGAGACAUCGUUUAGUCUCGGAAGGCAGAAUGGUAGCUUUAUGAAAGAAAUAAAGUAGCAAACGGUAACCGACGUUUCUUAUCUGAUAGUGGAUUGCGAUAUUAUGACUGUUGGGAACGUGGUGACACACGGAACAUCACCGGUAUGCAUGGAUGACAAAUGUGAGUAAGAGCGACAGUUUUGAGAGUUGUAUUCCUGAAUGAUGUUUGUCUCGUGAGUGUAUUGUAUGUAUGAUGCUUUCAUAAUCCAAGUGCCUGCAUCCAAAGAAAAAUUGUGAGUUUUGUAAAGGGGGAAGGUUAGUUCGUAUCCCCACUAGCUCUGCUUGACUUGCUCGGNNNNNNNNNNNNNNNNNNNNNNNNNNNNNNNNNNNNNNNNNNNNNNNNNNNNNNNNNNNNNNNNNNNNNNNNNNNNNNNNNNNNNNNNNNNNNNNNNNNNNNNNNNNNNNNNNNNNNNNNNNNNNNNNNNNNNNNNNNNNNNNNNNNNNNNNNNNNNNNNNNNNNNNNNNNNNNNNNNNNNNNNNNNNNNNNNNNNNNNNNNNNNNNNNNNNNNNNNNNNNNNNNNNNNNNNNNNNNNNNNNNNNNNNNNNNNNNNNNNNNNNNNNNNNNNNNNNNNNNNNNUCAUAUAAGGGAAGCAUAACGAUUACACAUAGUAACGCUUGACUGUAUUUGAGUUGAUAGGUUUUGGCCAGACUUCUCCGUCCAUUUCUGCAAGUAUGAGGGCUCCUCUUAUCAGAACCCGAUGAACCAUGUAUGGACCCUACCAGUUGGGAGAGAAUUUUCCUUUGGCUUCAUCUUGAUGCGGAAAAAUUUUGUUUAACACUAGCUGCCCUGGUGUGAACUGUCUUGGCUUGACUCUUUUGUUGAAGGCUUUGGACUUUCUGUUCUGAUAGAGUUGACCAUGGAAAACUCUAUUCAUUCUCUUUCUGUCUAUAAGGGAUAGUUGCUCAAAAUGACUUUUUACCCAUUCUGCGUCGUCGAACUCAGCCAUGCAAAGGGAAGUUAUCUUUUGGACUGGCCCGAUUGAGAUCCUGGUAGUCGACACAGACUCUGACCUUCCCAUCCUUCUUUGGUACAGGCACGAUGUUGGCUAUCCACGUCCGGUAUUCUACUACCCCGAGAACCUUAGCUUUGACUUGCUUAGUGACUUUUUUCUUGAUUUUCAGACUCAUAUCAGGCUUGAACUUUCUGAGCUUUUGCUUUACCGACGGACAUGUUGGAUCGGUUGGCAGUUUGUGAGCCACAAUAGACAUGCUCAGGCCAGUCAUAUCAUCAUACAACCAGGCGAAUAUGUCCUCAUAUUCUCUUAGAAAAUCCGUGUAUUCCUUCUUUUCUGAUGGUGAUAAGUGGACGUUGAUUCGUGUUUCUUUGACGUUUUCUACAUCUCCCAGGUUAACAACUUCUGUCUCGUCCAGGUUGUACUUAGGUCUAUUUUCAAAAUUCUCAACUUCUUUAACAAUCUCCUGUGGUAUGUCAUCUUCCUCUGAAUCUAUGUCCAUUUGUUGCGUUGUCUCAUUGCAUGUCACAGUCAUUGGGUCAUCAAGAUAAGUAAUAGUAAUGUUGUAUAAGUAAAGUAAUGAGAGAAAAAUAAUAAUUAGCAUUGAUUAAUAAGAAAAGUCAAAAUUCUUUGAUAAAUUGCAUAACUGUUUUGGAACAUUGGAGAUCUUAUUAUGGGAAUUAAAAUGCAAAAAUAAAAUCAUUUAUUAAAAUAAAGACAGUGCAUGAUGCUUGUUUUAGCGUUGCUACCCCAAGGCUCGUCGGGCUCUGGUUGUCCUGAUGGUCCAGUUAUUGAGGCGUGCUCCUCUUCUUACAGCAUGUAUGGAAGGUCCUUCCUCCCCUCCUCUUCAAGAAUAACACAGAAGUCCAUAUCAUUGUCUUCUAGGAACAAGUUCUUAACCGCUGCUAGGGCUUCCUCCUCAUCAGACCCAUAGAUAAUAUCAGUCGGUUGGAAAGUCUGCUCCAAAUAUGGUAUUAGCUGCUCCAGCGGAUAGUAGGGACCAUGCCAUGGUGGUGACCAGUUGUUUAAUUCUUCCCAAGUGUCCUCGUAUCCCAGCCCGAAAGUGGUGUCAUGUUUCUUAAGUUUUAUGGGCUUAGUGAUUCCUUGGAGGUUCUUGCCGACCCCCUUGCCAAGUUUGUACCCACUCCAAUUUAGUAUACUUUCAAUCUUGUUAUCCCACCAUUUAUUUUUGUCAACAACAUUUACCUGUUCAAUGUGAUGGUAAGUCUCUCCACCCAGCUUCCUUCUUCCUUCGAUUGACGGGAUGGUCUGGCGACUGUAUAUAGGGUUGCUACCGUAACCGUGAAUGAUCACCUCCUGGUGAUUCCAUUCAAACUUUACUUCCUGAUGCAGUGUUGAUACUACGGCCCUAGCGGCAUGAAUCCACAGCCGUCCCAACAGCAGAUUAUAAGAUGUCGGCACGUCUAUCACAUGGAAAUCAACAUCGAACCAAGUUGGCCCCAUUUGCAUACACAGACUACUAUCCCCAAUGGUGGACCUUUGGGAACCGUUGAAGGCUUUCACGUUGAUGGCUACGUCUUUUAUCUCGUGCAGUCCUUUUACCAACUUUUUGAGUGUUACUAGUGGACAAAUGUUGAGACUGGAACCCUCGUCGAUCAGAAUCCUGGUGAUGAAAUAGUCUUCGCAUUGCACGGUGAUGUGCAGUGCUUUGUUAUGACCCAUCCCUUCAUGUGGCAGCUCAUCUUCAUGAAAAAUAAUUUUAUGACUUUCCAAUACAUGUCCUACCAUGUUAGCCAUUUCCCCGCCAGUGAUGUUGCUUGGCACGUAUGCUUCACUCAGCACCCUUAGCAGGGCAUUCUUGUGUGCCUCAGAAUUUUGUAGCAAAGCAAGUAUGGAGAUUUGCGCUGGUGUUUUGUUCAACUAGUCGAUGAUUGAGUAUUCUUUGGCUUGUAUCUUUCUCCAAAGAUCGUCUGGACCUAUCUCAAUAAUGGGUGGCCGGUUGGAGGCCUGCUUGCUUGACUCAGCCAGAUGUUCAGGGGUAUAAACUCUACCCGUUCUCGUCAUACCUUGUGCGGCAAUAGUUUCUUCGAACCUACCCUUGCCUUUCCUCCUUGCCUCGGUUGUAUAGUCCCAUGGUAUAGCCUUUUUAUGGUAUGGCGUCAUGGUUGACUUCAUUACUGGAAUCGCGUGGGUAUCUUUACUCCGAACAGAGCAUGUUCCUUGGGUGGUAAAACCGCAACUUCAAACGUUGUGGGUGUAUUUGCUGGAGACACGAAUUAGGCCUUAAUUGGUAAUGGUGUCUUUGUAGUUGACGUUGUUUCAAACUCAAGUGGCACAGACAUAUUUACCUCGGCAUCCCCAGAGGGCUGAAUUUGGACCACGAUCAGAUUAUGAGUAACAAUUGGCUUCUUUAGGUCAUCCCCUUCUGUGAUCAAAUCGAUCGAUCCAUCGGGAUCCCAAUCAUCCUCUAUUUCAAUCAUGUGAAUGCCUCCACCCUUUGUGGUUUGGCAGUGGGUUAUUGCAGACAUUCGGAGCAGGUUCCUUUGCAACAACAAUUUUGUUGUCAAUUAAAGUCUGGAUCUUGUCCUUCAAAGAACGGCAUUUGUCGAUGGUGUGUCCUUUCAUGCCGGAGUGGUAUGUACAGGAUUUGUUUGGUUUAACCCACUGAUAAGGGUUCUCAGGAGUUGUAGCAGGGAUAGGGGUGACAUAACCAGCAGCUUUGAAUCUUUCGUACAACUAGUCAAUAAGUUCAGCAAUGGCUCUAUAUUGUUUCGGAAGUCUGCGGUCAAAAUUUGGUCGAGGUCUAGGGAAGGUUUGGCAUGCAGGAGUGGAUUUAUAGUGGGAUUGUUGAGCAUUAUAGGCUUGGUAAACAUGUGCGGGUUGGGAAUAUCUGGGUGAAGUAGGAUGAUAUAUGAGAGGUGGAGGUGAUUGAUAAGCGGGUGGCGGAGUUUGGUAAGAGGGUGAGGGUGUUUGGUAGUUCGGGGUAGGGUGAUAUGUGAGUGGAGGCAUUGGGUAGGUUGGGUAUUUUAUGGGAGAUUUGCUUCUUUUUGCAACCAUUACGGCCCCUACGUCCCUUUUCUUGGAUACACCACCAGACGGUAAGGCCUUAUUUGUAGCUUGCAAGGCCUCAAAGUUUGUAACCAUACCACUUUUGAUGCCCUCUUCGAUCCUUUCACCCAGCUUUAUAAUGUCAGAAAAUUUGUGGCUCUCUAUCAUCAUUAGUCAUUCAUAACAUUGUGGGUCCUGAGCCCGGACGAAUAAUUUGUUCAUUUGUUCCUCUUCUAAAUCAGGUCUGACCUUAGCAGCUUCGGACCUCCAGCGAGUAGCAUACUCGCGGAAUGUUUCUGUUGGCUUCUUCUCUAGACUCUGAAUAUAGAACACGUCUGGCGCAUUCUCUAUGUUGAACCUAAACCCGUCUACAAAGUCAGACACCAUGCCUACCCAAUUUGACCACUUCUUCGGAUCUUUGCUAAUGUACUAAGACAAAGCAUCUCCCUUCAAACUCUUCAUGAACAGCUUUAUGCGGAUUCUUUCAUCUUUCCCUACUCCAACCAUCUUAUCACAGUAAGUUCUCAAAUGGACCCUUGGAUCCUUUGUACCAUCAAAUAUUUCGCACUUCAGAGGUUUGUACCCCUCGGGUAGUUCGACAUCAGGCUGUAUGCAAAGAUCUUUAUAGUUCAGCCCUUCAAUUCCCUUACUUCCUUCAACGCCUUGAAUUCGGCUAGUUAACUUCUUGAGUUCUUCAGCCAGGUUCAUGAUGAGCAAAUCCUUGUCAUUAGACUCGGGUGUGCUUGCGAUGGGUUGGGUGGAGUGUUGAAUAACCUCCACAUAGAUGGGGAUGUUAUGGUGGGUGUAGAAGUGGUCAUUUGUGGAGUUUUGGAGUUUUGGGAUAAGUAGCGGGGUGUUAUUUGAGGUAUUACAGGUGUUGCAGUGAUGGUGAGGAGCGGGAUGGUUUUGUUACUUUGGGAUAUUUUGUGGAGGUGUAGGGUUCUAAGCAAUUGGGAAAUUGAUAUCUGGAGUGGUGAGGGAAAAUGAUAGAUUUUCCAGAUUCCGAACCUGAUCAAGUUCUUCCUAGAAUUUCAGUAGCUUUUGUUCGAGUUGGGAUGCAUUUUCUUUGAAAACCUGAGUAUCGUGACCAUGAGUGACCUCUACCCGUUCAAUUGAGUUCUCUUUUCUGACAUUAUUCAAAUCUUCCACCUUCUCUUUGGUCUUGUUUUUGAUAGGACUAAGAAGAGUGGUGGGUGGAGGGCCCCUAGAUCUCGUGGAAUAAGAUAAUGUUGCCAGAGNNNNNNNNNNNNNNNNNNNNNNNNNCACAUAGUGCGGAAUGUAGAAUAUGUCCUAAUUUGGAACCUCUUUGUGCCCGAGGUAGGCAUAGCGACAAAUUGAUUUGGAGAACUUAGGAUACUAAAUGCCUCAUUUUAUUUAUAAAGAUAGACGAAUCCCAAAUCGACACUAAAUAAAUAGGAAAUAAAUGUCACUACUGGCCAUUGGCCUUAUUACAUUUUAUAAAGCGAAAAGAAAAAACUCCUAUCUACUUGGUCCCAGAAGGACCUUCCCCAGAUUCGGCAUCUUUGGCUCCGUCGAACAACUUUCCCAACUCGCAAAGUCCCAGCAAUAGGUAGGCUCUGGUAGAUGUCCACCUUCAUUUCCUUCAGCAUUUUGGCAGUCUCCGACCCUCUUGAGAAACUUCCUUUCCAAUUCCACUAUGCCCCGCUCCAAGUAUCCCAAUCGCUUGUUGGCACUGACAGCCAUGUCCUUCCACUCCUCAAUUAACUUCUGGUUGGCUUCUGGUAUCUCACGGUGCUCGCUUUUGCACUCCUAGAUCCUCUUGCACAGUUGGUUGUAUUUGACUUGUGCCUUGGCCCUUUCAUCUAUGAUCUUGUGGCCCCUAGCGAACCUUGGCUAGCCCAGACCAUCGUGAUUAUCUUCCAACCAGCCUGAAUAGUAGGGAGGACAACCAGCGUGGUAUCUGUUUGGCUCAAUGGUAUCUCUCCCCAUGACAAUCUUGUAGUGCCACAUAUGUUGAGUUUGGCACUUAUAAGGACUAUCAUCAGCCUGAAAGUCAUCCCGGAAAUGACUUAUCUUGCCGACCCUGGGUAUAAUCUGCUUCCUACCAGCUUGCCUCAUAACCUAGAGAGGUACAUAAGGGUAUGUUCUUCACAGAUCGAUCAGUAACAGGAAAGGUUCAUCUCUGGAUUGGGCAAUGAAUUCCUCGGUCGGAAACCACUCAAACAUCCAUUGUACCUGGUCCUCAGUUAGAUUAUCAAAUAACUCUACCCAUCCUUUAGCAUCUUCUGGUUGGGCGAACAUAUUGGGAAUGUAAUUCAUUCGCUUCGGGUGAUGGAAAGAGAUAUGAUCAUCCCAGUCUCUUUGCCGGAUCUCUUGUCACUAUUCACCCCUUUGGAGAUGCUCCAUGAACCAGAGCUAAAGUAGCAACUUUUAGCCUUCAAAGUGUUUGGCUCCCUGUUAAGACUUCUCUAGGGCUCGGUAUAUUUUACGCAAUGAUCAUGGGCACAAUUCUGAAUGGUUGUCCACCAAUUCCCUUCAUUAAGUUCCUAGUUACCAUAGCCAGCCUGGUAUGGAUUCUUGCUUUAUUCAUGGGAAACCCGAUUAACCCGAGGAAACAAAACAUGAAUACAAAAACGCUUCAGUGAAUAUGCCCUAAUAAUGUGAUGGCGAACUCGUCAGGAUAAGUACGGUAGGAUUUUCUGUGCAUGUACCUCUCAUACAAAUAAUCAAAAGGGAUGUAGGAUUCUUUCAAACAUGUCACUUCUGGGUUCUUCUUCAAACCCCUCAUUUUGAGGAAUCCCCUGCCCUUGCGGUUCUCGGGCAAUAACAAACCCGAAGUUUUCCAUGCUAUACCGGCCGAUACUCCUAUCUCUUCUAGCAAGGGUGUCAAUUCAAUGUCCUCAAAGCAGAAUACAGCCCUCUCAUAGUCCCAGAACAAAGUAGCAGCUUCUAUGAUCCUGUUGUUGGGUUGAAUCUCCAGAAGAGAAGGUAGAUUGCCCAGAUAUUUCCGGACAAGAGUUUGAUCACUAGAGUGAAGGUCCUCCCACCAGCUUAGCAAUUUUGGGUGGAUGUUGGUGACCAUGCCAAUUCUGGGGACUUCGUGCCUCAUAUUUCUACAAGACAAAUAAGGUUAGGCCCUUACCCCCACCAUACUCGACUAUUUAAUAUCAACAACCGGCAUAAAGCAUUUAGUUCUCCAAAUAAAUGCAAAGAAUGUGGUGAUGUCCGUUUGGGUUUAGGGAAACCCAGUGGACUUUGGACAAGGCUUAUCUUAAAGAGUCAUUAUACGAACAACAUAACUGACUCGGCUAGGUUUGACCAUGAUGCAUGCAUAAUUUAAACAGAGUAAGGUUUCUAUGAGGUUUUAGACUGGUACCCUUGAGCGGAAAACUCAAGGAGGAAAGGCACAGAACUAUCGACUACACCGUUGAUCGACUGGUUUUACCGUAAAUAUGCCUUUUCAGGAUUUAUGGGGUAAUAAUAUAGGAAAAGCGCAACCACUCAUUAUAAGUGUUGCUAUGGUAUUUGUUUGGGCACGGGUGGGAUAUGAUGUUGAGCAUGAUUAUGCAAUAAUUAAAAGCAUGUUGGCACGUAUUUGCCUGUUAAGAAAGCAGUAAAUACAACAGUUUCAUAAUUUGAAGCAGUAAUAAAAGGAGGAAAUAAAAAGAGAAGUCAGUUUUGCAAUUGAAAAUUGAAUUGAAUGCUUAAAGAAAUUAAAUAAGUAAUUGCACAUAAAGGAGCAUAAAUUCACAGUGAUAGACUGAAAUGGUAAAAGCCUAAAAAUCCCCAGCAGAGUCGCCCUACCGUCGCGGCCCUUUUUUCUCGCGAAAUCGGGUUUAUGACAUUUGGUAUGGGACAACUCGUUCCUUCCAGGAACUAGGUUUUUCAUUUUUGAAGAGUCGCCACCUAAUGAUUUAAGGUGCAUUAGGACACCAAUGGGGUUCAAUUCUAAGUCAUUUGAAUAACCAGAGAUAGGGUAAGGGCUUGAAGUUAUCCCAAGGGAAAGGUGUUAGGCACCCCUCAGAAUCCACUAGUGUGGUUCCCGGCUAGAAAAUUAUUGUGAAUUUAGAAAAUAUACAAGUACAGGCUCAAAUAUUAAGGAUUUAAACACAUAAAAAAAGAAAGAACAAUUAAAAGCAGAGUUAAAAAAAGGAGUUUGCAAAUAAAAGGAAAGGGGAUCCUAGGUUUAUAUUUAAUAUGGAUCACGUCAAUGCAAUACCCGGUAAUCACUCCUCAAAAGAGGGGUUAUACGUGGCAUUAGCGCAUGGGUCAUCAUAUCCAUAACUACCCUUCCCGCCCCAUUAAGGUAUUAAAGGCGGAUUGGUCUCGAUUACUAUUGCAUGCUAUUACCCGUCUCAUUCCUAUCAGUCCCGGCCACACUUAGGACUACUAGUCCUAAAGGGUGGGAUAUUACGCUGAUUGGUUUCAAAAGAUAAAAAUCUAAGGCGACAUACAAAAAACACAUACUGCAUGUUGGGGAAGCAUAUAAACAGAUAAAGGCUCAAAUAUACCUCCUUGAACAAAAGCACAUAACUAGCAUGACAUGCACAUACUUUUUAGGUCUGAUUAAAAGACGAGGGGGGUUUGAUUAUUGAAGUAGAUUUAUUUAUUACAUAACUCAGAUAAAAAGUCUGAAUCAGGCCUGCCUGCUGGCUGUAACAAUUAACAAAGGCGGAUUCAAUUUUACAGUCAUUACUCUAAGGCUUGCCUAAGUAUUUAGACGGGAUCUUAUAGGCAUGAUAUUUACUUAAUUCAGAAGGUGGUGAAAUAGUGAUAACUCAAAGCGAAUUGUUUGAAAUCCUAUAUGCAUGCUUGCUAAACCUCGCUAAAAUAAGGGAAUCAGAUUAUUAAAAAAAGAUUCAGAAUGGAUGAAUUUUAGAUUAGACUAGUUUCAGUUUCUGCAGAUGAUAGUAUCCACUAUCACUGAUUUUUACUCAUAUGAACAUGGUAUCUAGGAUUACUAAUUUUAGACCCUUAUAGACAUAAUUAAAAUAAUUAAACCUUUGCGUACAUAGUAUCUGAAUAAUGUCAAACCCCUAUAGUCAUAAUAUCUAGUAGACAAUGGAAAGAAGCGGGUUUUCACUUGGGAAUUCCUAUAAGCAUGGUUUCUAUUCAUUAUGCUGAUUUUAACAGGCGACUGGGUUAUAGCCAAUUGGGCCCUAAAAACAUGAUAUCUAAAUGGUGACAAAUAUGCACAAUUUUAGAUAAUUCCUAUAGGCAGGUUAUCUAGAUGUGAAGUUGAACAAGUAGAUCCUAUAGACAUGGUUUCUAAAUGUGAUGUGAAUAUGCAGAAUUAAAAGUUGUCCUAUAGGCAUGUUUUCUAAAGCGAAUUGAACAUGUGGAAAAAGCAAUCCUAUAGGCAUGUUUUCUACCCUUGAGCAUGCAUAAUUACCCAACCCUUUUCACUAGUCAGCCCCAAAUGUUCAUUACAAAUUAUUACAAACCAGGAAUACUGAAUCACACCAGAAAAGUACAAAGAAAAGUUACAACCAAAGGAAGCCUGAUUCUUGACUUCCUCUCUGAGUUAUGGAAUAAACCACCUCAAAAUGCCAUUGAUCCAAAGCCUUUCUCAAACUUUAGUGUGUCAGAGCUCCCUAAGGGCCUCAAUAGGACCCAGGGCAGUGCUCACACCUGAGUUACAUAACCAGAAUGGAGAUGAGUGCAGUGUGAAAAUGCCAGCCCUCAUGAGUCCAAGUUCAUAGGGAGAUCAUGGGUCCCAAGACAUGUGAAGAUCUCACAGUAGCAGGUCAAGUAGUGAAGAAAACAUAGAAUAUCAAAGUAUGUGAAGAUCUCACAAUAGCAGGUGAAGAAAACCCCUCUUGAAAAUUAGGGUUUCGAGCAUAAUCGAUUUUUAGAGAUGAUAGAAAACCAAAGUCAGAAGAAUCACACAGAGAAAUAAGAGAUUUUGAGAUGAAGAACUUCAAAAUCUAGUUUUGCACUUAAACGAACUGCCUCAGACCCAAAACCAUAGGACUUUCAACAAUAGAAGAGUUUUUAAAAGAGGAUAAACAAACAAAUCAGACAGAAACUCAGGCAAACAAACAUUCGUCUAAUAAACAGUCAUAAGAAAUUAGGGUCUUUUAACAUGCAAACUCAAGUAGAAGAAAGAUAUAAGGAAACACAUCAGAACAUAUCAAAAAUCAGAGAAAAGUUUUGAAAUAACCUAACAAGAUCCCUAAUCGAAAAAGAUAAGGGGUUUUGAAGGCAGAGUUUUAAAAGAAACUUCGAGAAAAAUGCUUAGCAGUUUAGAGCAAAGAUAGAUCUAAAAUAGAUUUAAAAGAGAUCGAAAGAACCUUAGAGGUUAGGGUUUCAGAAGAACCCCAAGGGAUGAGAAAGGCUUUGAAAACCAUCGAUCUAAGCAGGAGAGUCAAGAGUCUGACUCGAAUAGCCAUGGCUGACCGUAGAACAGUCAUGAAAUGAAAUCGAACAGGUUCUGGACCAAGCUCUUUCAACAUCUAUCCUUGAGACCAUAAGAAUCGAACAUGUAGAAGACAUGGGGGUUGAUACAGGUUUCCGACGACCUUGGAAGCCAUAGAUUUGGGAGGUAUUAGGGCUGGGUUAGGUGGCGACGGCUAGGGUUCAUUAGGCAUUGCAGAGAGAGUUGAGAAGGAAAGGGCUUCAAGGGUGGCGUUUGGUGUGAAAUGAGGUGGGGUAAGGGGUCGUUUAAGGUUAAAAAUAGGAUGGGCCGAUAUUGGCCGUUGAUCUAAAUGAUCAACGGCCAGGAUUGAAAGGGUUAGGUAGGGGAGCCGGGUUGGGUUAUUUAGAUUGGGUUGGGGGUCGGGUUGAAAUUGAAAUUGGGUUGGAAAAUUGGAGGCCUAUUUUGGGUUAUAAUUGAAACUCAAUUUGGGCUAUAAUCGCAAUAGCCACUUUUCCCUUUUAAUUUUAUAAAAAAUAGUAAAUUAAUUCCUGGAAAUAAAUUGAAGGUACUAAAAUGUUUUGUAAUACAUAAUUAUCAAUUUAAAAAUACUGGACUUAAUUUUUUAUAAAUAUAAACGCAAUUAAAUCUAAAAGAGGCUAAUAUUGCAAUUAUAUGCAAUUUAGCUUUAAAAUACUAAAUAAAUUUGCAAGAAUAUGCAAAAAUUAUUUUGACUAUAUUUUAGUAUAAAUAUGAGAAUCCAAUAAAUGAAUCACCAAUAUUGAUAAAUUUGUGAAUUAUUAUUGGGUUUUUAUGAAUAAAACAAAGGAAUAAAUUGGUUAAAAAAUCUUUAAAAUUAAGAAAAUUAAUAAAACAAUGGGACAUACUUAUAUAUGCAUAUAUAUGCUAUUUUAAAAGUAUUUUGCAUAUAAAAAAUAUAUAGGGAAAAUUGGAUAUCAACAAAGACGAUGACGAAGGAAUCAAUAUAGGUAUGAACACCCUAUUCAUUAGGUCCAUAAAUGUUGCUGGGGCUUCGGUCAAGCCAAAGGACAUCACCAGAAACUCAUAAUGACCAUAUCUAGUACGAAAAGCAGUCUUCGGAACAUCUGAGUCCUGAAUCCUCAACUGAUGGUACCCUGAUCUCAAGUCGAUCUUAGAGAACACCCCAGCACCCUGUAACUGGUCGAACAAAUCAUCAAUGUGCAGCAACAGGUACUUGUUCUUGAUGGUGACCUUGUUCAACUGGCAAUAAUCAAUGCACAUCCGCAUGGUCCCAUCCUUCUUCUUUACAAACAACAAUGGUGCACCCUAAGGUGACCCACUUAGUCUAAAAAAACCUUUGCUAACAACUCCUCAAGCUGCUCCUUCAACGCUUUCAACUCUUUUAACCUUUUUGGAGGCAUACGAUAUGACUGAAUAGAUAUAGGCUGGGUACCUGGAGCCAAAUCAAUACAGAAAUCAAUAUCGCAAUUCGGUGGCAUGCCAGGAAGAUCAGAAGGAAACACAACGGUGAACUCCCGAACUACUGGAACUGAAUCAAUCAUCAAAGACUCGGCGGUGGUAUCCCGAACAUAGACCAGAUAAGCCAAACACCCCUUCUCGACCAUAUGUCAAGCCUUCAGGAAAGAGAUAACCUGACUAAAUGUAUCAACUAUGGAACCCUUCCACUCCAACCCUGGAAACCCUGGCAUUGCUAAUGUAACAGUCUUGGCAUGGCAAUCAAGGACGGAAUGGUAUGGGGAUAACCAAUCCAUGCUCACGAUGACCUCAAAGUCGAUCAUAUCAAGUAACAGAAGAUCUGUUCUAGUCUCAAAACCACAGAAUGUGACCACACAAGACUGGUAGAUCUGAUCCACCACCACAGAAUCGCCCACAGUAGUGGACACAUGAACAGGAGUGCCCAGAGGCUCAGAAGGAAUAACAAGGAAACAAGCAAACAAAGAUGAUACAUAUAAAUAGGUAGACCCUGGAUCAAAUAAUACCGAAGUAUCUUUACCGUAGAUGGAAAUAAUACCUAUGAUAAUGGCAUUUGAGGCCAAUGCAUCUAGCCUUUCCAGAAGGGCAUAGAAUCUGGUUGGAGCGCCAACUGGCUGGCAUCCACCCGACUUAGAAGUAGCUGGUUGACCUCUCCCUGUCUGGCCUUCACCUCUAGGAUGGCCUCUACCAGUCUGCGCCCCACCUCUAGACGGUUGGGCAGCCGGUGCUGAAACCAUAGGUUGUUGACUCUACUGUACUGCCUUUCCCCGAAGCCUGGGGCAUUAGCUCCUCAUAUGACCAAGGUCUCUGCACUCAAAAUAACCCCCCCCCCCCGGCUCGGUGACUUGCUGCCUUGAUAGCAUGUAGACUCAUUGGAAGAAGCCUAGAUAGUCGGUGGAUGGUAUGAACUCUUAUGCAUAGCACUAAAAUAGUAACCUGAAGAACCCUAGGGUCCUGAAUACCCACUGGAGGAACCCUGAAUAGCUAACGGGCGAUAAGCAUUUCUUGCAUGGCACUGAAAUGGGGGCGCGUUGGAGCACCCCGAGCAGGUGGUGGUGCUGAAUAUGGGGGUCUGCUGGGCUGACCCUUCCCAAACUGACCUCUACCCCUAGCCGGGGCACCUCUGAACUCUCUAGAGAAUAAAGCCCUUUUAUCCUGCUGCAUCUGUUCCUUACCCCUCAAACGGUAGCCCUCAAUCCUCCAAGCAAUCUCCACUACUAGCUGAUAAGAAGUCCCUAUCUCCACCUCUCGGGCCAUGUUGGCCCUAAUGCCAGAAUGCAGCCCUGCAACAAACCUCCGCACCCUCUCUGCGUCAGUAGGAAGAAUCAUCAAUGCAUGUCGGGAUAACUCAGAAAACCUCGCCUUGUAGUUUGUAACGGACAUCUUUCCGUACUCAAGCUACUCAAACUGAUACCGCAGCUCUUCCCUCUUAGAGGGUAGAAUAUACCUAUCCAAGAAUAACUAUGUGAACUGGCCCCAAGUGAUGGGAGGAGAACCUGCUGGCCUGCCAAGAACAUAGGACUGCCACCAUCUACGGGCCCUACCCUCCAGCAGAAAAGUAUUGAAGUGAACCCCAUGCGAUUACAAUAUCCUCAUGUUGUGCAGUCUGUCCCUGCACCUAUCAAUGAAAUCCUGGGCAUCCUCAUGGCGCUCACCCCCGAAGACAGGAGGGUGAAGUCUAGUCCAUCUAUCCAACAAAUUCUGCGGGUAACCAUCCACAGAUGGUCUAGGCUUUGGCACCACUGCAGCAACUGGUUGAGCCUCAUCCGCGAGUAGUGCACCCGGAGUCUAAUACACUGCAGUUGCAUGACUAGGAGUCUGAGCAGUAGGGGUCUGUGCUCCCCCUCUUGCAUGUGAUGUAGCUGGAUCCACUGGAAAUAAACCAGCUUGAGUCAUGGUAUCUAUGGACCACAGUAUACAGCCCAUGACCUCCUAAAAACCCGGUGUUGUCAUAAAGUCCACCGAGUAGGCUCAGCUGCAGGCACCUCGCCCUGUUCCUCAAUGAAAGGAUCUCCUGCAGGAUCCACCGGUGGUACUACUGGAAUAGCUAUGGGAUGUCCUCUUCCCCUACCUCGGGCCAGUGCCCUCCCCCGGCCUCUACCUCGGCCUCUAGCAAUGAGGGGAGCAGCCCCUCCCGGGUCUGGAACAUCAAUCAUGCAUGUCCUCACCAUCUGUGAGAGAAUAGAAGAAGAAAUUUAAUAUACCAACCACUGCACGAUAGGAAAUGAAUAAAGAUUAGUUUCCUAACACCCUAUAGCCUCUCGAAGAUAAGUACAGACAUCUCCGUACCGAUCCGCAUGACUCUAUUAGGUUUGCCCAUGACUUGUGAGACCUAUGUGAACCUAGUGCUCUAAUACCAUGUUAUCACGAUCCAAUUUCAUUAUAGGUCGUGAUAGCGCCCAACACCAUUGUCAGGCAAGCCAACGCGGAAAUAUUAAUAAGUUCUCAUUUUGCUUUACCAAAGCAAGUAUAGAAAUUUCUUAAUUUGAAGUUAAAACAAGUGAUAAUUAGUAACGUACCAAAAAUAAUUAUACAAUUCCCAAAAGAAUAGUCUACUAAUGCAUGUGCCAAGACAUGGUGUCACAAGUAUGUGGGCAUCUAGUAGAACACACAAAAGAGUAAAUCUAUCCUACUGUCUAAAAUAGAGUAGACAGCCAAAAGUAAAGAGAGACUCCAUCAAGCUGCUGAACGGCAUAGGAAGGGAGCAGCUCACUAUGGAAGUCUCAGACUAUGAUCAGGAACGUGCACCAGACCGAUAGCCAGAUGUACCUACCACAUAUCUUGUACAAUUAAGUACAGAAGUGUAGUAUGAGUAUAUAAACAUUAUGUACCCAGUAAGUAUCCCAUCUAAUCUCGAAGAAGUAGAGACGAGAGGCCAACUUGAUACUUACUAGGAUCAUAUAAUAUAGUAAGUUCUAUGCUAAGCAUGGAUGUCACAGAUAAUAUCAGUUUAUAGCAAGAAGUGAUAAGUCAUGCCUAAAUAGUAUCACAGUUAGCCAUUUACAUUUCAGAGCAUUUAACAAAGUACGUCAUGAAUAAGAUUUCACAUAAAUAUCAUGCGCACGUUAUGUCGAGGUCGUACGGCCCGGUCCAACAGAAAGGAAAUUGUGCACUGCCAGAGGGUUGAAUGGCGCGAACCAUAUAUGCAUCUAUUUCUACCGAGGCGAUCGGCUCGAUCCACAAAUAUCAAUUAUCAUCAAGAAGGUGCAUAAAGGCGCAUUUAUAUUCAAAUAAUUCAUACAAAUGUUCAAACAAGUAGAGGUGAGAAUUCGGUAUUUCGGUUUGGUAUUUAAGAAUUUCGGUUUGGUAUUUCAGUAUUCGGUUUAUCAAUUGUGUAUACCAAAUACCAUAUCAAAAUAUUUUGGUAUGAUACAGUAUUUCUUAUUUUGGUUUGGUACAGUUUCGGUACGGUUUCGAUUUAAUAAUCGCUGAAUAAGCAAUGCUAAAUUCAAUACUAAGCAGUAAGGUGUAAGCAACAGUGCACCAUAAUUGUAGGCAACACUAAGUCAGUAACAACUAAAGAGUGAAACUUUCGUUGUGAAAUGAAAUUUACUUACUCCUGAAUCAUCAGUUCGUCCAAGAAGCUUUGGUCCUAAUCAUCUACCUAAACAAUCUGAAUACCAAGGAGAAGAAAAUGAAAUGAUAUUUUGCAAGAAAAAUGGAAGGAUAAAAAAUAUUGAAAGGGAACCCUCAUAACCAACAAUAUUUGAAGUAAGAUUGGCUGACAAAAAAGAAACAUUAACUGGGACCAAAGUUUCUUGCACAUGCAAAAUUGCACACAUAAACAUAUUUGUACACAUUACACAACAAUAUUAACAUAUCUGCAAAUUCAAAGUGCACUGCACAAUGCACAUUGCACAAUUCAAACUUCAAUGCUGCCAAUUCUUCCUAACUCACAAGUCACAAAUGACCACAAUUCAAAUCUGUCAAUUGACCAAAUACCAAUUCUGCCCAACUCACAAUUCACAAAUAACCACAAUUCAAGUUUAACAAUUAAUAUAGUGCAGCAGAAUUAAACAAAAACUUAGACUCUAAAAGUGCAACAGUUGCAGCAGAAUUAACUUAGUCUUUAGUCUUACCAGUGAACAAGAGCAGCAGACUCUAACAGACAGUAGCAACAGAAUUAAAUACAGUGCUUGCAUUCUUAAAUAUGGAUUCCAGGAAGACGCGCAAGACAACGCUUAAUAUGUUUCCUUAAACUAAUUGUUCCAUUCCUAUUUGGAUUAACAUUAUAGACUUAAUGCUUGCACUCUACUUUGCAAACUUCUCUGUUAUCUUCUUUCACCUCAAAGUGUUCCCAAAUCCCAAAUAUCACAGCGUACUUUAGGAGCACGGGGCAUGAUUGCACUUGAACCUAAAAAAAAUAUAAAUCAUAAGUUAGAAUAUUAUAUUAUGAUGAUAAUAAUACAAAACUACAAAAGUAUUAAGUAUAUCACCAAACAAAUAGAGUAUUAAACUUACCACUCAAGUUGCAAGUUGCAACUAUACAUCAAACAAUGAUAGUAGUGCUUCCAUUAUUUUCCAUAUCUAAAGAUAAUUCGACCAAAUAUGUCAUACAAAUAAAAAAGCAUGAUAUAUUAUUUUGAACUAAAAUAUACACAAAAUAUUAAAGCUUAUCAAGCUCGAGUUCCUCAAGAUACUUCAAGUCUUCUUCAACACUAAUAGGAUUCUUCUCUUCUCUAAGCCAAUCUUGAACACAAAUAAGAGCUUGCACACAUUUAGGAGUCGAUGAACUCCUAAAUGAAUCAAGAAUAUGGCCACCGGUGCUAAAUGCGCAUUCCGAUGUCACACUAGAAAUUGAAAUGGCCAACACAUCACGAGCCAACUCCAAAAGAAUAUGAAAUCUAGGAGCAUGUGUUUUCCAUCAACUCAAGAUAUCAAAUUCUUCACUAAAAGGCUCUUGUUAUGCACUUAUGUAUUUAUCCAACUCCAAUUUAGCACUCCCACUUCCAUUAUCUUCCUUUUGUUUCUUCAAGCUAAGCUUCGUCCUUAUUUUUUAUGCAGUUAUAACACUCCCACUAGAUGUAUUAGAUGUGUUGUUAGAUGAAGUAGAACUAGAUGGAGAUUGAGGACAAGAUCCAGUUGAAUACGUUUUUACAUACUCUCCAAAUAAAGAAUUCAUAUAAGCAUACACCUCAACAUUUAAUUUCUUCCCUUUUCCCUCCCCAAAAAGUUCUUUAAGUGCUCCCUCAACAUAUUCAAAUUUAUUAUGUGGAUCCAAGACGGAAGCAAUAAAAAUCUUUUUAUUCAUCUUCUUAGGCUCACCCCAAUACUUUUUAAACUUUUCUUGCAUUCGCUCAGCCAUUUUUCACAAAUGCUCAUCCUUACUAGCUAAAUAUAUUUUCAAAUGACAAUAAAGUUCAGAUACAUCCUCAAAAUGAGAAUUACAAGUGACCUAACGUGAACCUAAAACUUUUUUAGUUAGCUCGUAAAAUCUUGCAAGAAACUCUAUCACAUUCCUCACAUUCACCCAAUCAUCAGAUUCAAGAGGACCUGCACUACUACCAUCUUCACAAAGAUGAGAACAUUGAUAAGCAGAAAAUCCAUCAUCAAAAAGAUGAAACUUGUCAAAGGCCUUUUCAAAGUUUUGUGCCGUAUCCAACAUCAAAUGGGUAGAAUUCCACCUAGUAGGAACAUCCAAACACAACGUUGUAGUAAAUUCUACCUUUACAUGUGCACAACACUUUUUAAACUUUAAGGCCCUUGUAGGCGAAGAUCUCACAUACCUCACAAUAUUUCUAACACGUGUCACAGAAGCAUCAAGUUCUUUCAAACCAUCUUGCACAAUUAGAUUUAGUAUAUGAGUCAUGCAUCUCACAUGAAGAUGUUUACCACUCAUCAUACUAGUUUUCCACAUAUCUAACUGUUUAGAUAAUUCUUUGACUGUAACAUCAUUUGAAGAAGCAUUGUCCACAGUAAUAGUGAAAACCUUGUCUAAUUUCCAUUCAAGCAAACAAUCCCUAAUAGUUUUAGCCAUCUCUUCACCCUUAUGACAAGUGAUAUGGCAAAAAUUUAGUAUUCUUUUAUGCAACCUCCAAUCCCUAUCAAUGAAGUGGGCUGUCAAACAUAUAUAAUUUAUUCUUUGUAAUGAAGUCCAUGUGUCUGUUGUGAGGCAAAUUUUUGGUUGUGCUUCUCUAAAAGACCUUCUUAGAUUUUGCUUCAAUUCACCGUAAACUUCAUAAAAUCCCUUGUUAUUGUUCUACGAGAAGGAAGAUGAAAUAGUGGUUGAGUUUUUCUCAUAAACUUCAUAAAGCCUUCAUUUCCUACAAAGCUAAAUGGUAGUUCAUCAAUAACUAUCAUCUCAAUUAAGGCCCUCCUAACCACUUUUUGAUCAAAUUUCCAAAUUGAUCCUUCAUCAUUUUGGCAAGAUUGAAAAUUUAUCAAUGUUAAGUGGGUAUUCUUUGCAUUAAGCAAAUGAUUCUUCAAUCUUGUUGUUCCAUUCUUAGAUGAAUUAGCAGCAUAAGCUUGUUUAUAAUAUCGAUAUCGUGCUUUCCCAACCCCAUUAACCUAAAAUUUCUCAAAAUGGUUCCAAACGUCAGACCUAGGUUGCAUGGCUUUCCUUUUCUUGGAAUAUUGAGUAUCAAUGGUGUUGGUGUUACUAUCUACCGUAAUAGGUAAACUUUCACUUGAACCAACAUCACUUACUCUACUUGUAUCUGCCAUCUAUACAAAAUUAAACAAAUAUAAACACAAAUUAACAAUCAACAUUCAACAAGCUUUAGGUCUUGCAGCAGCUAAAAAAUGCUAACAAUAACACUAGCAGUUCUUUAAAGAUGCUAACAAUAACACAAUAUUGAGUCCAUUAGCCCGCCGAUUAACAUAUAGUCAUAUAUCAGUCUAAAUCAAGUUGAAGAUUCCACUAAGUCUAAAGAAGAUUUUAACAAAAUAGAAAGAGAAAACAAAAUCUUUUUGUAAUCAUCUUCAUUUAUCUUUAUGCUGUCAAAUACAAACUCCAAUAUGAUCUAUCCAAAAUUGAUCAGAGUACUAUGUCCAUCGCUAAAGAACAGAGAGCAGCAUCAACAGAAAUUACUAUAGUUUCUAUCCAGUUAGCUUUAGUAAGAUACAAUUACUACAGUUUGUGCAACGGGCUACAUAAAUUAGGUUACAGAAUCAUUUUCAUGUAUCAGUUACUUCAAUCAAUAUCUAUACACAACUGCCAAUGCUUAGUGCUAAAAAAAUUUCACAAAAUUACUAUCUUCAUUUCCUGUUCUACUACUACACCUUAUAGGAUUCUCAUAUGUCAACCUACUUUAUACCUAAUCAAACACUUGAUCCAAAAAAAUGAGUUUAGAAUAUAAAAUUAAUUUUUGCUAAAGAACAUCGCUAGAAAUCUUCAUCAAAUUCAUUUCCAUUGCUAGAAAGUAGAAACAUACCUUUGAAAAUUGAAAUCAUCGCAAGUUCGCAACAACAUCGUCUUCGUUUACUCGGAAUUUGUGAGGAGUGAGGAGUGAGGAGUCGGAGCUCGGAAGUUGGAAGUCGUAAAUCGCGAGGAAGUCGAAAAUCUCCAAAUCGCCAAAUCGCCACUCAACUGUACUAUACUCUAUAUUGCUAAAUGAUAAUGCCCUAACCAGUAACCAGUAACCAGCUAACCAUUAGAGUUUAGGCUUGGGCUUGGGCAUAAGAAUUAAGAUGGGCUUGGGCGUUGGGGCUGGGGUGAUGGGUUGGGUGGGCAGUAAGAAUUAAGAAAAUAUCUUUUAAAAAUCGAUAUUUCAGUAUUUCGGUAUACCGAAAUUUCAGAAUUUUAAUAUCGAGGGCCAUACCGAAAUACCGAAAUUGCAAUACCCAAUUAGACUGAAAUACGAAAAAAACCGAAAUCGAAAUACCAAAUUAAUUCGGUCCGGUUCGGAAUUCGGUUUUUCGGAUUUUAUGCACACCCCUACAAACAAGUGCAUAUGUUCACAUAGGUUCAUUUUCAAGUCUCUAGCAUAUCUUAAGUGAUCUCUUUAGCAUGAAAGGAUAUAAGCAUUUACAAAUUUGGCAUGAUAUGGGUCCUAAACUACCCGAGAAAUUAACAUAGUAGUAGCUACGUACGAACUCUUGUUACCUAGUAUGUACGUAACCCCCACAUUUAGUGGUAAUUUAUUUAAUUAUUACACCUAUGGGGACAAUGCCCUCUUACAAAGUUAGAAAGGAGACUUGCCUUGCUCCGAAGCGUACUUCCAAUACCAAGAACAUGCUUAAACCCUCAAUUUGGAGCCGAACGAUCCAAAACAAAUUAAACGAGGUAGGAACUAUUCAAUACCAGCUCACAAGUUCGCAUUCUAACUAUUACAGAAAUUUUCAAACCCUAAACACAAGUUUCCUAAAAUCCGACCCCAGACCCACAUGUCCGGAUUUCGAAAUUUUUCAAAGAAAGUUGUUCUUCAUAACCUAAGGACCAAUAAUAUAUGAUUUCUACUUCAUUUCAUAACAAAUUUCGUGGUUAAAUCUAACAUUUAUCAAAACCCUAGGUUUUUCUCUAACCCUAUGAUUUUUCCUAAUCUUUGUGUGUUAAUCUACCCAAGACUCAAGUAUUAAAUUAGAAAUAAGUGGGAUGAACUUACCUCAAGAUGCUAGGUGGAAUAUCUCUCUUUGGAAGCUCCCAAAUCGCCCAAACAAUGGUGGAAAUGUGUCAGAAAUGACACAUUCCCGUAUUAAAUGAAGGCACUGCCUUCAGCGAUUUACGCACUUGCGGUUAAGGGACUGCAUCUGCGGUCUCGCUUCAGCGAGAGGGGGUCCACAUCUGCGGAAUUGGGCUAGGGGGCUGGGACCGCUUCUGCGGCAUUGGAGUCACUGAUGCGAAGUCACUUCUGCGGAGAAGGAUCCGCAUCUGCGGUUCCUAGGCUCCCUCCCUUGGCUGCUUCUGUGAUAUGUAGACCGCAUCUCCUGUCUCACACCUGCAGCUAACCAACCGCAGGUGCGGUUAUGAUAGAUAGAUAGAACUUCAGCUUUUUGCCAUUUUUUUCAACUUCACUCGAGCCUCGUCCGAUCGACGCUCGGGGCUCCCGGGCCCCAUCCGAGCAUACCAACAAGUUUAAAAUCAUAAAACGGACUCACUCGAACCCUCGGAAUGCCUGAAACAAUGCUAAAUCUAAGAAUCAUCUCCUAAAACCAAUUGAAUCAAACUAUGAACUUCAAGUUCUUAAAUUCACUUCUAACGCGCGGAAACGUACUUAAGCUACUCGGAUUGACACCAAAUUUUGCGGGUAAGUCUUAAACGUUAUAUUGGACUGGUACCGGGCUCCAGAACCAACAUACGGGUUUGAUACCAACCUGAUCAAGCAUUAUUCAAUUUCAUUGAAUCCUUAGAAUUUCAGUUUAAAAAUUUCUAACGAAAAUUCAUUACUCGGGAUAGGGACCUCGGAAUUCGAUUGCGGGCAUACGCCCAGGUCCCAUAUUUUCCUACAGACCCUCCGGGACCGUCAAAACACAAUUUUGUGUCCGUUUACUUGAAAUGCUGACCAAAGUCAAACUUAGCUUUUUAAGAAAAUCUUAGGGAAUCAAGUGUGCCUAUUUCAACCCAAACUCUUCAAAAUCCCAAACCAACCAUCCUCACAGGUCGUAAAUUAGUUAAAGCAAGCAUGGAAAGUCUUAUUUAGGGGAACAGAGUCCUAAAAAGAAAAAUAACCAGUCGGUUCGUUACAUACAGUAUGUUAGAGGCCUUGACGACCCAUAUGUAUUCAUGUUUUAAGAAUGAUGGUUCAUUGAUACAAUGUUUGUCUACUUAUACUUAUACAUUACGAGUUAUGACCAUGUUGGCCCAUGAUAGUUAGAAGGGAAAAAUAGUUAAAGAGUGGUUCGCUCGGGCUAGUACGACACCGAGUGCCAGCCACGCCUCCCAGGUUCAGGGCGUAAUAGGGCCGUAGAAAUUAGCGGGUAUGAUAUCAAGUACAAACCCCAAGCCACCAUAAAAUUUCGGAUUUUGGCGGACUUCGUGGCCAACUUUACGCCAGCCUUGAUCCCUGAGGUUGAGAAGGAAUUACUUCUCACUUCGAGGACUAGCUUAGGGAUCUGAACCCUAUUCACAGACGGUGCUUCCAACACGAAGGGGUUUAGACUGGGCAUCGUAUUGAAACCACCUGCGGAUAACGUAAUAAGGUAGUCUAUUAGAACUGUAACAUUGACUAAAAAUGAAGCCAAUAUGAAGCUAUGAUUGCAGGUCUAGAACUGGCUAAGAGCCUGGGGGCCGGAGUGAUUGAGGCCAAAUAUGACUCCUCUUUGUUGUCAACCAAGUCAACGAGACGUUUGAAGUAAAAGAGGAACGGAUUCAGAGAUACUUAGAUAAGUUGCAGGUGACAUUACACCAAUUCAAGUAAUUAACUCUACAGCACGUACCUCAGGAUCAAAAUAACGAGGCUAAUGCAAUUGCCAAUUUGGGGUCAUCGGUCGACUCUGAUGAAUUUGACUCCAGAGCAAUGGUAUAGUUGAUGAACUCGGUGGUAGAAGAUGGUCACACCGAGGUGAACUCAACAAGCUUGACUUGGUACUAGAGAAACAAAUACAUAGACUACCUGGAGAACAGAAAAUUGCCAUUGGAUCCCAAGAAGUCAAGGUCCCGAUGUGCUAAAGCUGCCAGGUUUAGCUUGGUCAACAAAAUUGUAUAGAAGAUCCUUUUUCGGGCCACUAGCUAGGUGCUUGGGUCCAUGGGAGACCGACUAUACCAUGAGAGAAGUACACAAAGGUACUUGUGGAAACCAUUUAGGAGUUGAAUCCCUGGUUUGAAAAUUGACCAAAGCCGGCUAUUACUAGAACGAGAUGGAGAAGGAUGCGAAAUACCUCAUUCGAAAAUGUAACAAAUGCCAAAGCCACGCCUCAAUGAUUUAUCGACUAGGGGAAAUGCUUCACCUGGUCUUGUGGUCGUUUAUGAAAUGGGGGAUGUACAUCGUCGAUCCCUUGCCAUAGGCACCUAGUAAAGCCCAAUACAUACUACUCAUGACCGAUUAUAUCUCCAAGUGGAUCGAAGCUCAAUAGUUUGAAAAGGUUUGGGAGAAAGAGGUCAUCACUUCAUUUGGGAUCAUAUAAUAUGCCGAUUCGAUAUACUAGCAAAGAUCGCUUGUGACAACGGGAAGCAAUUGGUCGGCAACAAGGUAAGUAAGUUUCUCGAAGACCACAAAUUAAAAAUAUCUUAUCAACACCUUACCACCCUACUAGGAAUGGUCAAUCGGAGUAAAAAAAAUUAAACUAUACUCUAAAACUUGAGGAAGAGAUUGACCGAUUUGAAGGGAAAGUGGAAAGAAAUCUUGCCCGAAGUCUUGUGGGCAUAUCGAAUGACUUCAAAGUCAAGCACCGGUACGACAUCGUUCCCUUUAGUCUACGGCGUGGAAGCUCUAAUCCUGGUCGAAGUGGGGGAACCAAGCCUAAGGUUCAAGUACGCUACCGAGACAUCAAAUGUCAAGGCCAUGGCCACGAGCUUUGACUUAUCGGACAAAAGGCGAGAAGUCGCUCGGGUCAGGUUAGCUACCUAAAAGCAGCGAAUGGGGAGGUACUAUAAUCGAAGGGCUAACCAUGGAUAUUUCCAAGAUGGAGACUUGUUAUUAAGGAAAGUUAUUCUACACACCAAAAACCCAAAUGAUGGGAAACUAGGCCCGAACUAGGAAGGUCCGUAUCGAGUUGCCGGUAUAACCGAGAGGUUCAUAUAAGCUCGAGUUAGGAAAUGGUAUAUACCUACCGAAUAACUGGAAUGUGGCACACUUAAAGUGGUACUACUGUUAAGAUAUGAACACAAUUUUCUUUGAAAAUUGUUAUGCCGUGGACUAACUCAUGCAAGUAUUCGGUCGAGGAUAAAUUUGAAAAUUAGGUCUAAAAGCACGUGUUGUACUCUUUUUUCCUUGGACCGAUAUUUUUUUGAAGUGGAUUUUAUGGCAAGAUUUUUAACGAGGCAAUAAUAAAAUGUGCUACCUUAGUUUUGAAGACCGGCCUGAGGCUAGAAUUGCUGACCACCCAUACUGGAUCGAUAAUAUUCGAGCCCUCACGAGCUCAGUCUCAAAUACUGGGAGAGCCAUUACGCCCUAAGUUAGGAUCCUUAGAAGGCAUUCUUAUUUGAUAUUAAAAGCCAAAGCUUGAGUAUUAUAAUUUAUUGUAAGCGUCAAAUGGUCAAACGAACUGUACCCAUGUAGCUCAUUCUCGCCAUGGCAGAAAGCUUCUGCGCCUUCGAUCAUGUACUCUACAUGCAAAUCAAUGAAAGAAAUUUGCCCUCUAUAUUUCAUCACUUCGCAUUUGCACCAUCGAUAUAUUCGUUGAGUUAUUUAGAGCAAAUAAUGGAUCCAAAAUCCUAGAACCCACGGGCAUCCCUGAGUUGGGGACUGUUGUCCGAUAAUAGAUCGGACAACUCGGGCUAUCGAAUCCCAGAGGCACCGAGCCUAUUAGGAAGGGCCCAAACAUGAAAGACUACGGCUAACUUAAAACGGCUCGAAGACAUCCAAGUCCGUACUUAGAAAGUAAGGUCCUUACAUAUGAUUAAAACCUAUUUAAAAAGGUCACCCUCGACAAAACACCAUUGUGUCUGAUUGAAACAUUAAAUUAUCUUAAAGUCUUAUUUUUUAUCAGAUAUUCCAAAGCCUAAGCAGCUCAGAGGUCUUACCGAAACCAGGCCUCAUUCGGGCUUUGGGGGAACGAGCACUCUAAAUUAUGUCCAAUUUUAUGUUAAGGUAUUUAUGACAUUCUUCAAAUAAGGAGUUGCAAACGAAUACUGAAAAGUAAAAGAUACAGUAUAACCGAAGGUAAGUUUUUAUAUAUAUUCCAAAAAUAUUUACAAAGGCAGGGUAAAACGGCCUCAAAAUAAACAAAAAAAUGUACAAAAGAAAACAAAAAAUAAAAUAAGGCAUCUCCGCCUAGUCUUCACCAGAGCCUGAUUCAGUGUCGGAACCCUCGGACUCAUAUAUCUCUUUAGCCUUGGCCUUGAGCCUCUUGGACUCUUCAAUCUCGGCCGACAGAUCGAACCUCCGGGCAUGAAUCUCCUCGAGAGUCUCCCUCUGGGAUAGCCAUUUUAUAUAUUCGGCUUUUGUUAUUAAGUGGGCCUCGGCUAUUUCCACGUUGUUCUUGUAUUGGUCCAGCAUAUCCUGGACCUUGGAGGAAUCAAUCGAAGCUACCUCUAACUUGGACUUCAACGCGGUAUACUCCCGGCUGAGGUCGUCCUGUUCCGAAAUAGUCGAACCUAGUUAUGAUCGGAGCUCAUCAUUCAGUCGAGACCACUUGUCGACCUUAUCCUUAAUCACCCUGAGCUGGUCCUUGUGGAUGCUAACUACUCUUUGGUAGCCUCCUUUUCUGAGGCCAGAAGGUUCAUCCUACUCUUCAAUGUCUCGGCCAAAGCUUUGAGCUCGUUCAUCUCGAUCCAAAGUUGGUCGAUAAGGUCUAUAUUCUCUUAGACCUGUGAGGUUGCGGCAUUAGCUACUAUGCUUAACCUAAUAUUAAUCUCAAAUACCCUUACCUUCUCGACCAGUAUGGCAUGCUCCCAUUUUAGUGAUGGGGCCUCCCUUUGAGCUUUUCCAAGCUCAGCUUGGAGAAUGGGGAGGUCCUUGAGGGCCUCGUCUCUUUACUCGCUGAGAUCUUUGUACAUGUCCUUCUGCCGGAUCUGUUCCUUGAGCUCAAAUUCGAGCUGGAUUACUUCCAUCCAAGACCGAUGGAAGCUUUCAUGAUGAAGCACCAAGGCAUGAAAAACAAACUAAUGAAAUCAUGAAAAUACGCUAAGGUUAAAUAAGCUACAUGAAGGAUACGAAGAAAGAGAAGCAUACCCGAUCCAGUACUUGUUGUGCCUCGUUGAAGAGGCUCGAUUCACUAACCUCAUUAAUCUUCGCCUGAUCCUCUUCGGUCACUAAGCAACAAAGAGAGCUGGCCAUAUUAACUGGUCCGGACAGCACCUGGGCAUCCGCCAAAUCCUAAACACAGUAGUUCUUUUGCGGUCGAGAUCCACGCUCGGAGCGGGGAACUGCAUCACUAGCUUUGGGCUCGAUCUCAGCCUGUCUGACGGCACAUCUUUUUUGGGAUAUCCAGGUGACCGAAUCCGGAGUAGUCCUCCAAUUCACCGAUGUCCAUGCCCUCAAAGAAUAGGUUGAGUGCCUCGUCUGCGGCCCGCGAUGUCUUAUUUUGUUUCUUUUUGAUGGCUUGAGCCUCAUCAACUAAAGACUUUAUGUGAGACGAUAACUCCAUGACUAUGGCACCGACAUCUUCUCUCGGAAUAGGGGUGGAUUCUCGAGAGGCCGUAGCCACUGGAUUUCCUUAGGGAUCUUGAGCCAAAGAGGGUUAGACCUCUCGAUCACUUCCUCCAGAUACUGCCUGCUCUUCUUCUUCAAUGGACGACCUAUGGGCGACAAACUCCAAGUCGGCAUCUUCAAGGUAGUCCCUAAGCUAGUGAAGGUAUUCGGGGUCCAGUACCCUGGCCUGGGCACUCUUAUUUUUACUCUUUUGGACCCAAACUGCUACCCUCUUCUUCUUAAACUCGGCGUCUGUGUCGAGGGAACCUGAAGACUUCCUCUUUCUUCUCUUUUUCUCCUCCUUCUUUGCGGCGGCCUCAUGCUGUCCCGGAGCAGAGAGUUUAGCAGAAGAGGACGAAGCCUCGUCUUCGUCCACUGCCUGGAGCUUAGUGGUCUUAGGCAAACCUUCGAAAGGAAGAGAAGGAUUUAUUUAGUAAAAAUGACAGUUGAAUAUAAAAUGAAAACUUGAUCGGGGGGAGAAAAAUCAUCAAUGGGAACGGGCUUCCCAUUUACCCUUUGAGAGUUUGCGCCAUUUGCGCUCGAAGUACGAACGUUGUUUGCAGAUCCCCCCAGUCCAAUCUCUGAAGCGUGGAACUGCAUUGGAGACUCGAGAAACUAUUGCAUGAUGGUAGAACCAGGCGAUGAGAAAGAAGAACAAAAAUCCAAAAGAAAUUCUAAAUACUUAAAACGGAGAGGAACUUAUGGGCUAGGUUCCACUUUUUAGGCAACGGCAGGAACUCGAGGGGAAUGAGAUCCUCGAUUUUCACCAGAACAAAUCUCCCCUGCCAGCCUCGAUCCCCAUCCUAGUCAAUGCUCGAGAAUGGAACUUUCUUUGCCCGGCGAACGAUCCAGAUUAAUCCCCCUCAGAAGUUUCGGGGACUGUAGAGAUGAAGCAGAUGGUCUAUGGUAAAUCGGGGUGCCUUAGUGUUAUUGACAAAGUGGAGUAGGAGGAUCAUGAUCCUCCAAAAUGAUGGGUGAAUCUUCCCGCGGCAUACCUUGUACCUUUUUCAAAAAUCGAGGACUAUGGUAUCUACCGGGUCAAAUGUGAAGGGCUAUGUAUAAACAGUUAGGUACCCUUCCACAUAUGUGGUGAUGUCCUCAUCAAGACUAGGGACUACCACUUCUUUUCCCUCCCAUAGAGGGUCCUUGUGAAUAGUAGGGAGCGUAUCUUCGGUGAUGUAGCAUAUGUACCUCCACAGCUCCUCACCUUGAUCCUCUUGCCUCGAGGUUUUUUCGACCUUAAAGUCAUUUUCUAUAGAGCAGCCUCCGGGGAUGAAAUUCUUUAGAAGAGGUUUCGAGGCCACUUCACGUACAGCCACCUCAACAUCCGUGGCCUGGUUAGAAAUUGAAGGGAUGGUCUGUUAGGGCACAAAUUUCGAAGUCAUCGACAUCGACUUCUGGGAAAUAUGAAUAUAUGAAAGAGGUAUGAAGAUUUGAAGAUGAGGAUGAAGAUUUGAAGGUCAAACUUAACGGUUCAAGGAUGAAGCAUGAAGAUUUGAAGAUGGGAGGAUGAAGAUAUGAGGAUAUGAAGAACAAUGUAUGAAGAUUUGAAGGGGUUAAAAGCAAGUAAAAAGUUUGGGGAUAAAUAAAGAAUUUCUGAAAUCGGAAAGUAAGAAAGUGAAAAAAGGAUCGAAGCUUUUAUAAAGAAGAGGUAAUUUAUAUAUGACAUUUCUCAUUCAGCAGCUGACACGUGCUCGAAGUUAGAAUGACGUGAGUGGUGGGACGUUUCACUGGCCCGUCGACCCAAUUGUAGAGUACAGAAAAAGGAACCAAGGUCACCUAAUCACUUCUCGUCGCGUCAAUAAAUCUGCUCUCCGAAAAAGUUAGGGGACUAUCCGUGUAUGGGUAAAAUCGAGAAUAAUGUUACCCAUGAUUCCCCUAUAAGGAAAUGAGAGGGAAGCAUGAUUUGACGCAACCUCGAACGAAGCCGAAGGGUCCCUCGUUUCAGAGCUUUGGGGACAAACAAAUGCAUCAGGGAUGGGGCACGGCUAAUCAACGGAUCCGGACCAAGUAAAGUUUCAAGACCAAGGAAAAAGAGAAACGGUUGAGCAUGACGCGCAGGAAGUCUUAAUAUUCUCCCUCAACGGGAUAUUACGGCGCAAAUCCCGUCUGAUGUCAACUACGAAUCGACAUUUACCGAAAAAAGAAGAUGUGUACCUUAUUUAGCUUGUACUAGGAUUGAAAUUCCCCUACUAUAUAAAAGAGAGAAUUUUUUAAUUUUAAACCAUUGUUGACACACACAUCAAAGCAAUAAAGUUUAUAUUUAUCUUCUAGCUAUUAUUCAAAGUGUUCUUCAGUUACUCUCUUCUUUAAUUACAACCGAGCUCAUAUCGAGUGCUCGAUCGGAGCCAAUUUUCAGUGUUCAACUUAAAACUAGGCUUGAUUGUUCCAUCACGAUUGGUAUGAUCAUUUAUUCUCUCUUUAAUUUAAUUAUUCGUUGUUCUAAGAUCAUUCAAUUAAAUUAAAUCACAUUUCCUUUUAAUCGCGUACAAAUUUAAUUGUUACUCAGUUUUAAGGAUAAAAACUUAGCUUAUUUAUUCCAAAUUACUUAGAGUAAUAUUAACUUAUUUAUGCUAAAUUACUUAGAGUAAUAUUGAGCUUCUAGGUCUCAUUUGGGCUUGCCCAAUACUUAGCAAUGGUGGUUCAAUUUACUAGGCCACAUAUAUAACCUGGCAACUGAAGUCUGAAUUGUUCCUUCGUAUUUAUAUCCAAAAUUUUUUGGUAUAAACACUUUGUUUAUACCUUCAACUUUAGUCAUUUAAAGAUUCAAACUUGCCGUAAAGUUGCUUCAUUUCAUAGUUAAACAUCAAUGUUCUAAAGGGAUAAUUUCAAUUUUAGGCGCCCAAAUAUAUAUNNNNNNNNNNNNNNNNNNNNNNNNNNNNNNNNNNNNNNNNNNNNNNNNNNNNNNNNNNNNNNNNNNNNNNNNNNNNNNNNNNNNNNNNNNNNNNNNNNNNNNNNNNNNNNNNNNNNNNNNNNNNNNNNNNNNNNNNNNNNNNNNNNNNNNNNNNNNNNNNNNNNNNNNNNNNNNNNNNNNNNNNNNNNNNNNNNNNNNNNNNNNNNNNNNNNNNNNNNNNNNNNNNNNNNNNNNNNNNNNNNNNNNNNNNNNNNNNNNNNNNNNNNNNNNNNNNNNNNNNNNNNNNNNNNNNNNNNNNNNNNNNNNNNNNNNNNNNNNNNNNNNNNNNNNNNNNNNNNNNNNNNNNNNAGCUGUGAGAUAUAUGGAUCGGGGUUGCAUGCCACAACAAGACUUUGGGCUAGUAUAUGUAUAUGUAUAUAUAUAUAUACUAUAUAUACUAUAUAUAUAUAUACUAUAUAUAUAUAUAUAUAUAUAUAUAUAUAUAUAUAUAUCAUAUACAUAAUCAAUGCAUAUGUUUUGUAUGUUUGGGCUAUCUCCUGUAAUUCUUUAGGGUCGUCGGGCUAAAAAUGAAAAGGGAUCUUUAUAUAAAUAGUCAGUCAUAUUCACUCUUUACUUUUUCUAGUCAUAUACAUAUAUUAUACAUUACAAUAACAACCAUCCAGCAUAAUCCCACAACUGGGGUCCAGGGAGGGUUGGAUGUACGCAACCUUACCUCUACCCUGGAAGGGAAGAGAGACUAUUUCCCAUAGACACUCGGCCAAAGAAUGUGAGAGAAUCUCUAAUAACAAGUAAUAGCAAGACAAAUAAUUAGAAAACUAAAUUGAAGAUAGCAACAGAGAAUAUGAAAGAGGUGCUGAUAACAAGUAAUAGCAAGACAAUAUAUUUAGAAAACUAAAUCCAAGGCAGCAAAUGAGAAUAUGAACGAACUACUGCUAGCAAACUACGGAAUUAGCGAUGGCAAGUAAUAAUGAAACAAGACAUGCAAAUAUAGAAAACUAAGUAAAAAAAGGGUACCAUACUAGUACUAAUACUAUCGAACUAGAGAAGACAAAGGGAAACGUAUGACUACCUACUAACAUUCUACCCUAAUCUUCAACCUCCACACCCUUCUAUCUAGGGUCAUGUUCUCGGUUAGCUCAAGUUGUGACAUGUCCUCCUGAUCACCUCUCCCCAAGAAUUCUUCGGCCUACCUCUACCCCUCAUCUCACCUCCCAAGGCCAAAUUCUCACAUCUCCUGACUGGGGCAUUUGUGAUUCUCCUCUUAACAUACCCGAACCAUCUCAACCUCACCUCAUGCAUCUUUGCCUCCACAAGAACCAAUCCCACCUUGUUCCGAAUAACUUCAUUCCUAAUUCUACCCAACCUAAUAUUCCCACACAUCUAUCUCAACAUCCUCAUUUCCGCUACUUUCAUCUGCUGGACAUGGGAGUUUUUGACUGGCCAACACUUUGCCUCAUAUAACAUAGUCGGUCUAACCACUACCUUGUAGAACUUAUCCUUAAGUCUCAAUAGCAUAUUCUUAUCACACAAGGCAUUGAAAAAGAGCCUCCACUUCAUCCACCCUGCUCCAAUACGGUAUGUGACAUCCUCAUCUAUCUCCCCAUCCUUCUGAUAUUAUAGACCCCAGAUACUUGAAACUCUCUCUCUUGGGAAUGACUUGCGUAUUAUUCCUCACAUCAUCGUCUGCCUCCUAGGUAACACCGCUGAACUUGCACUCCAAGUAUUCUGUCUUGGUCCUGCUCAACUUGAAACCCUUAGACUCCAGAGUAUGUCUCCAGACCUCUAGCCUCUCAUUAGCACUACCUCGCAUCUCAUCAAUUAGGAGUAUGUCAUCCGCAAAUAACAAGCACCAAGACACCUCCCCUUGAAUGUGUCGUGUUAAUGAAUCCAUCGCCAAGGAAAACAAAAACGGACUAAGUGUUGAUCCCUGAUGCAACCCCAUCUCAACUAGAAAGUAGUCAGAGUCUCCUCCUACUGUACUAAAUCGUAUUUUAGCUUCAUCAUACAUGUCUUGAAUCACUCUAGUAUAUGCUACAGGCACUCCUCCAGCCUCCAAACAUCUUCAUAGAAUCUCUCUUGGGACUUUGUCAUAGGCUUUCUCCAGGUCAAUGAACACCAUAUGCAAAUCCUUCUUCACCACCCUAUAUUGCUUCACCAAUCUCCUCACAAUAUGAAUGGCCUCAGUAUUCGACCGUCCCGGCAUGAAACCAAACUGGUUAUCGAAAAUGGACACACUCCUCCUCAACCUCCCUUCAAUCACCCUCUCCCACACUUUCAUUAUUUGUCUUAACAACUUCAUACCCCUAUAGUUGUUGAAGUUUUGGACAUCCCUCCUGUUCUUAUACAACGGGAUCAUCAUACUCCGUCUCCACUCUUCAGGGAUCUUCUUCGUCCUAAAAAUGACGUUAAACAACCUAGCAAAUCAUUCCAAGCCCUCCUUACCCACGCUCUUCCAGAAUGCUAUCAGGAUCUCAUCCGAACCAGUCACUCUACCCCUACUCAUCCUAUGCAUAGCCCCUACAACCUCCCCCACUCGUAUGCAUCUACAGCACCCAAAAUCUCGUUGUCGCUCUGGGUACUCCAACUCCCCUAGCACAAUGCUCCUAUCUACCUCUUUAUUCAAGAGUUUAUAGAAGUAAGACUGCCAUCUCUACCUAAUCUGUGCCCCCUCUAAUAAAAUUAUACCCUCCUCGUCUUUUAUCAUCUCACUUGGUCCAGAUCCCGAGCCUUCCGCUCUUUCACCUUCGCCAACCUGUACAACUUCUUGUCCCCGUCUGUAUCCCUAAUUUCUUUGUAUAAAAUACUAAACGCCGCGGUCUUAGCCGUAGUAACCGCCAACUUCACCUCCUUCCUAGCGUUCUUAUACCCCUCCCUAUUAGCACUAUUCUUCCCCUCGUCUAUAUUCUCUACUAGCUUUAAAUAUGUCGCUUUCUUGGCUUCCACUUUUCCCUGAACCUCUUCGUUCCACCACCAGUCUCCUUUAUGGCCCCUAGAAAAACCCUUCGAGACUCCUAACACCUCUCUCCUGCCUCUCUAAUACAAUUUGUUGUCAUAGACCACAUACAACCCCCAUCCCCGUUACUCCCCCAGGCCCUCAUAGCUAGCAACUUCUCCCCUAGCUCCUGGGCCUUGUCCUUAGUCAAUGCACCCCACCUGACCCUAUGUAUACCAAACACAACCCUUUUCUUCCUCGUCCACCUGAUCUCUAAGUCUAUAAUCAAAAGCAUAUGUUGGGUCUUAAAAUUCUCACUCGGGAUGACCUUGCAAUCCAUGCAUAAACCUCUAUCAUAUUUCCGGAGAGCUAGAUAAUCAUCUGAGUCUUAGCCACCAUAGUCCAAAAGAUUAUCAGGUGCUCCGCCUUCUUCGGGUAACACGAGUUAGCGAUCACCAGCUCAAAUUCUUUAGCGUAUUCCAGCAGCGAAGUACCUCCUCCGUUUCUAUCUCUAAAACCAAAGCCACCGUGCACAUUGUCAUAUCCCCCAAGCAACCUCCCAAUGUGGCUAUUAAAAUCACCUCCUAUAAUAAGUUUCUCGGUGGACGGUAUAUCCCACACCAACCCAUCCAAAUUUUCCCAGAAACAUCUUUUAACAUCCUCGUCCAAACCCACCUAAGGCGCGUAAGCACUAACUACGUUCAAACUAUACCCUCCCAUGACUAUCUUAAUGGCCAUCAACCUGUCGUUCACCCUCUCAACCUCAACAACUAGCUCCCUUAGAUCUUUAUCAACUAAAAUUCCUACCAUGUUCUUCCUUCUUACACUCCCUAAUACCACAACAUAAACCCAUCAGCCUCCCGACCCCUGUUCCCCACCCAUCUAGUCUCCUAGACACAAGUUAUGUUAAUCUUCCUCUUAUGGAGAAUCUUUGUGUCACACCUCCUUUUUUACCACCCGAGAGGGGAUAUAAGGGAGUUUUUUCAAUUAAAGUGACAUGAUUCGAAAUAGGAUUAUUUAUUUAAUUUCUUCAUAUUCGACACUUGGGAUAGUUUAUUUGGUGUCCCAAGUCGCGGGUUUAUUUUAAAAUCCCAAGUCGAGGAAAUUUGACUUUAUUUAAAAGUUUGCGAACUAGAAACUCUAAGUAAGGAAUUCUAUUAACACGUGAGAAGGUGUUAGGCAUUCCCAGGUUCUGUGGUUCGAGCACGGUCGCUUAAACUAUUAAAAUUGGCCUAAUUAUCUGAUUUACUAUAUGUUUUAAACCUAUUGUGCAUUUUUAUUCCUUUUAACGCUUUUAAUUAUUUUUAACCGUUUUUUAGGAUUUAUGGAAUUAUUUCUUGAACAAGUUACGAUUGUCGUAUACUUGCCGUUUUGGAACACACCGAAAACACGCUACAUGAAAUGCACCCGCGAUUCGCGACAUGUUUAUUUUUAUUAAUAUUCAAAGUUGUUAUGAUCGGGCCACAUGAAAUGCACACCCGAAUUUGAAAAAUUAAGCAUCGUAACUAUGUCACGGGAGCCGUACCCAUAAUCACGAUGGUUUAUUAUUAAUCGCGCUUAAAGCAAGCUACGAUCAAAAUAUGUUCUACACUAGUUAUAAAUGUUCUAAGUAUUUUCACACUAGCUUUGGUGUUAAUGUGAGUGCCAUAGAUUAUAGGAUUCAUUUGUGGAUGGCACGCCUCGAAUUAUUUUGGGAAAAAAGAUUUUUACUCAACUAAAGCAAACUACGGAUGUUCAUGAUUUCCUAAAACUAAUUUGGGAUUAUUGUGAGACCAUGAGUUAUGGAAAUCAAUUGUGGAUGAAGUAUAAAUUUUAUUUCAUUGUUAUCUUCCUGAACCAUAAUCCUUGUUGUGACUUAUCAAAUCUAAAAGCUCAAAUCUCAUCCAAAAGAAGCCUAACCUUUUCCCACUGAUCUAACUUACACAAACCAUCAACCAUGGGUUGAAAGCAUUUCCGUUUCAUUUCAUUGAAAGGGUUGAAAGCAGCACCUACCAUCUUGUCUUUGCAAAGCGCAUCUACGACAAUGCUUUACACAACAGUGUUAGGUUUGGGAUCCCCUUGUUCCAUUAUCCUCAGCAAACUAAGAGCUGUUUAAGUAUGUCCUUUUUUACAAAGACCAUUCAUGACUGUACCAUACAUAACUUCAUCAAGCUCACAAAUUUUCUCAGUGACAAGCUUUUGAAGCAACCACAUGGCAACGUUAAUCUUAUUUUGUUCAAAAAAAAAAAGCCCCUUGAUUGGGCGGAAAUAAAUUUUUUUUCAAAAAUAAAGAUUAUAUGCUUUGAAGAAAAAAAACAUGGGUUUAGAUAGUCAUUCAAACAGACAACUUUUAUUUUCCAUCAACCAAGCAAGUUCGCAAUUUUUUACGCAUGAAAAGGAAUGGGGACAUGCUCUACUGUUAUUCUUUCUAAUUCUAAUAAAGAAAGUCAUUUAUGCUUUCCUCAUUGCUACAUCAAGUGAGAUAGCAAUGAACUUCAAAACAACUCAGUCAAGUGAAGCCCAAAACAGAAUUAUGUUUUUCAUUCAUGUUGAUUUUAAAGCUACAAGAAUGAUCUCAAAAUUACCUCAAAUGCAGAAUUUCUCAUUGCUACAUCAAGUGUAACAAUAUGAACCACAGUGAACAAUCAAACCGUGAUGACCCGACCGGUCGUCUUAAGAAUUAACACCCUGAUCCCCUAUUAACUGCUUUUCCCGUAUUUAUUUCUGCUAUUUUGAUUUGCCAGGAUGUUCGAUUUUGCGUUUCGGAGAGUUUUUGGACACUUAGUCCCUUAAUGAGAUCUUAAGUUUUGGAAAUUUGACAGUAGUCGGAACAGUUUGAAGAUGACCUCAGAAUGGAUUCUGAUGGUUCUGUUAGCUCCAUUGAGUGAUUUCGGGCUUAGGGGUGUGAUCGGAUUGUGGUUUGGAGGUCCGUAGCUAUUUUAGGCUUGAAAUGCCGAAAGUUCAAUAUUUGAAGUUUCUAGUUCGAUAAUGAGAUUUUAAUCCGAGGGUCGAAAUGGAAUUUCGGAAGUUGGAACAGCUUCGUAGUGUUAAAUGUGAUGUGUACGCAAAAUUACAGGUCAUUUGGAUGAGGGUUGAUAGACUUUUUGAUCGAAAGCGUAUUUUGAGAAUUUUGGAGUUCUUAGGCUUGAAUCCAUGGUUAAUUCGAGGUUUCGGUGUUGUUUUAGGUGUUUUCAGGAUUGGUAUAAGUUUAGAUAGUGGUAUAUGACUUGUUCAUAUUUUUGGUUGAGGUCCCGGGGGCCUCGGGAUGGUUUCGGAAGGUUGCCGAAUGAUUUGGGAUUUGGUUUGAUCAGCUUCAACUGCUGAACUUCUGUCAUAACUGCACCUGCAGAUUGGGGACCGCAGGUGCAUGAUCAAAGAAGCUCUUAAGGAGACGCAGAUGCAGCGAAGUGCUUGGAAGCCAGUUUCCGCAGGUGCGGUGGUAUGGGCGCACCUGCGAAACCGCAGGUGUGGUAGAAGAAGCGCAAAUACGGCCCAGUGCCUUAAGUGAAUUAUCACAGAUGCGACGUUAUUUCCACAAAAGCGGGACUGCAGGUGUUGUCCCAUGACCGCAGAAGCGGAUUAGCUGGACAGAAACAUAUAAAUUCUUGCCUUCGCGAAUUUGAGCUAUUUUCACCUCUUUUCAAACGGGAAUAAGCCUUGGGAAGCAUUUUCAAGAGACAUUUUCAGAGGAAUUCAGUGGGGUAAGGUCUUUGGUCCCUAAACUCGUUAUUGGGGUGAUUUUUAUCAUUAUAAACAUGAAAAUUUAAGGACAAUCAGUGGUAAUUUGGGGGUUAGGGCUUGACUAAUUAGAGACCUUUGAGUGAUGAUUUGAGAGACCAUUUUAAGGUCCGAUUUUGGUACUUUUGGCAUGACUGAACUCAUGAGAGUGAAGAUUCUGGAAAUUUAAAUUUUACCUAAUUCCAAAACGUGGGCCCGAGGGGCAUUUUGGUCAUUUUACCUAAUUUUGCGUAUUAGCUUAGAAUUUCUUUGCAGAAUCAGUUACUUGAAGUGCUAUUUACAUUAUGAAAUUUAAUCGAAUAGAUUUGGGCCAUUUAGAGUUGAGUACUCGUGGCAAGAGCGUGGUUUCAGAUUGAUUUGAGCUGGUUCGAGGUAAGUGGCUUGCCUAACCUUGUGUGGGGGAUCUUUCCCCUUAGGAUUUAGUAUAUUUUGUAAUUGAAAUGCCUUGUACGUGAGGUGACGAGUGCGUACUUGAGCUAAUUGUUGAAAAUCUGAUUUUCUUUAAGUAAUUUCAAUGGUGUUCCUUUUUCUUGUUUUAUACUACUUGCAAUUUAAGCAUGUUGUUAGCUUAGAAAAGGCAUGUUUAAUUGACUUAAUUGCUUAUUUGCUUAAAUUGUCUUAAUUGUAUUAUGUGAAACAUGUUAGGUUAGAAUUACCUGUUUACUUGGUACAAAAUUGAGCUUACUUGAGUAUUCUUUGUGUUGUUAUUGUGUGUUAUCAUUGUGGGACUACGGGACCACAUCCCAGGAGAUCCCCUGCACGUAUUUAUGAUUGAGCUGAGGUGUGGGCUACCGAGAGAUUAUUGGGCACAGACUUGGUUCAGGAUGCUUUGGAGAAGGUCAAGGUGAUUCAGGAUAGACUCCGUACAGCCUAGUCCCGACAGAAGAGUUACGCGGACCGGAAGGUUCGUGACGUUUCCUAUAUGGUUGGAGAGCGGGUUCUGCUUCGGGUUUCGCCUAUGAAGGGCAUUAUGAGAUUUGGGAGGAAGGGGAAGUUGAGUUUGAGGUUUAUUAGCACUUUUGAGGUGUUGAGGCGUGUUGGGGAGGUUGCUUGUAAGCUUGUCUUACCUCCCAGCUUUGUAGGAGUUCAUCCGGUAUUUCAUGUUUCGAAGCUCCGGGGGUAUCAAGGUGAUCCGUCGCACGUGUUGGAUUUCAGUUCAGUCCAGUUGGACAAGGAUUUAUCCUAUGUUGAGGAGCCAGUAGCAAUAUUGGAAAGGCAAGUUAUAAAUCUGAGGUCAAAGAACAUUGCAUCAGUGAAGGUUUAGUGGCGGGGUCAGCCGGUCGAGGAGGCGACCUAGGAGACCGAUCAGGAUAUGCACAGUUGUUACCCUCAUCUUUUCACUACAUCAGGUAUGUCUCUAUGCUCGUUCGAGGAUGAAAGAAUAUUUAAGUGUAGGAUGAUGUGACGACCCAAUCAGUUGUCUUAAGUAUUAAUGCCCCGAUCCCAUAUUAAUUGCUUUCCCCGUAUUUAUUUCUGCUAUUUUGAUUUGCCGUGAUAUUUGGUUUUGAGUUUCUGAGAGUUUUGGGACACUUAGUCCCUUAAUGAGAGCUUAAGUUUUGGAAAUUUGACCAUAGUCAGAACAGUGUGAAGACGGCCUCGGAAUGGAAUUUUGAUGGUUCUGUUAGCUCCAUUGAGUGAUUUCGGGCUUAGGGGCGUGAUCAGAUAGUAGUUUGGAGGUCCGUAGCUAUUUUAGGCUUGAAAUGUCGAAAGUUGAAUUUUUGAAGUUUCCGAUUCGAUAGUGAGAUUUUGAUCCAAGGAUCGGAAUGGAAUUCCGGAAGUUGGAGUAGCUCCGUAGUAUUAAGUGUGACGUGAGUGCAAAAUUUCAGGUCAUUCGGACGAUGGUUGAUAGACGUUUUGAUAGAAAGCGUAUUUUGAGAAUUUUGGAGUUCUUAGGCUUGAAUCCAUGGUUAAUUCGAGGUUUCGGUGUUGUUUUAGGUGUUUUAAGGAUUGGUAUAAGUUUGGAUAGUGGUAUAUGACUUGUUCGUAUUUUUGGUUGAGGUUCUGGGGGCCUCGGGAUGGUUUCGGGAGGCUGCCGAAAGAUUUGGAAGUUGGUUUGACCAGCUUCAGCUGCUAAACUUCUGUCAUAACUGCACCUGCGAAUUGGGGACUGCAGGUGCAUGAUCGUAGAAGCGCUUGAGGAGACGCAGAUGCGGCGAAGUGCUUGGAAGUCAGUUUUCGCAGGUGCGGUGGUAUGGGCGCACCUGCGAGACCGCAGGUGCGGUAGAAGAAGCACAGAUGCGGCCCAGUGCCUUAAGUGAAUUAUCGCAGAUGCGACGUUAUUUCCACAAAAGCGAGACCGCAUGUGCAGUCUCAUGACCGCAGAAGCGGAUUAGCUGAGCAGAAACAUAUAAAUUCUUGUCUUCGCAAAUUUGAGCUAUUUUCACCUCUUUUCAAACGGGAAUAAACCUUGGGGAGCAUUUUCAAGAGAGAUUUUUAGAGGAAUUCAUUGGGGUAAGGUCUUUGGUCCCUAAACUCUUUCUUGGGGUUAUUUUAUCAUUAUAAACAUGAAAAUUUAAGAAAAAUCAGUGGUAAUUUGGGUGUUAGGGCUUGACUAAUUAGAGAUCUUUGAGUGAUGAUUUGAGGAACCAUUUGAGGUCCGAUUUUAGUACUUUUGGUAUGACUGAACUCGUGAGAGUGUGAUGAUUCUGGAAAUUUAAAUUUUACCUAAUUCCGAGACGUAGGCCCGAGGGGAGUUUUGGUAUUUUACCUAAUUUCGCGUAUUAAUUAGAAUUUCUUUGUAGAAUCAGUUACUUGAAGUGUUAUUUACAUUAUGAAAUUUAACUAAAUAGAUUUGGGCCAUUUGAAGUCGAGUGCUCGUGGCAAGAGCGUAGCUUUGGAUUGAUUUGAGCUGGUUCGAGGUAAGCGGCUUGCCUAACCUUGUCUGGGGUAUCUUUCCCCUUAGGAUUUGGUGAAUUUGGUAAUUGAAAUACCUUGUACGUGAGGUGAUGAGUGCGUACUUGUGCUAAUUGUCAAAAAACCAAUUUUUUUAAGUAAUUUCAAUGGUGUUCCUUUUUCCUAUUUUAUACUACUUGCAAUUUAAGCAUGUUGUUAGCUUAGAAAAAGCAUGUUUAAUUGACUUAAUUGCUUAUUCGCUUAAACUGCCUUAAUUGUAUUAUGUGAAGCAUGUUAGGUUAGAAUUACCUAUAUACUUGGUACGAAAUUGAGCUUACUUGAGUAUUCUUUGUGUUGCUGCUGUGUGUUAUCAUUUUGGGACUACGAGACGGCAUCCCGGGAGAUCUCCUGCACGUAUUUAUGAUUGAACUGAGGUGCGGGAUACUGAGAGAUCCUCGGUUUGUAUCCUUAUGAAAAAUGGUAUCUCCUUGUGAUUGUUUUUGCCUCUGUUUCAGUUAUUGAGUUCCUUAUAUUCCGGUAUUAAAUUCUUAUUGUUAGCUUUCAACUGUAUUGCUUAUCUUAUUGUGUCAUACCUUAUAUUUUUAUUAUAUCUCAGUAGGGCCCUGACCUUCCUCGUCGCUACCCGACCGAGGUUAGGCUUGACACUUACUGAGUACCGUUGUGGUGUACUCAUGCCCUUUCUGCGCAUGUUUUUCAUGUGCAGAUCCAGCUAUUUCGACCUAGUCCUAUCACCCUUGAGGCGAGGCGACUUCUCCAGAGACUUCGAGGUAUAUCUGCCGCGUCCGC
rnacentral:lncRNA from 1 species